ACCUGGCACAGGUAGCCUGGACAUGUUGGGAAGUCACUGUUGUUGCGUAUUUUCAAAAACAGACUAGAUGCAGCCUUGGGCAGCCCACUCUAGUCGACUCUGCUUUGAUCAAGGGUGGUGGACUGCAUGUUCUCUAGAAAUCAGUUCCAACCUCAAGUCUUCUGCUAUUCUGUGUUAUCUUGUGCAACCAAACCAUACCUUGUUCAGUGAACACUGAAACUAAGAAACUCUGUUUCCUCCACUUUUGUACCCUGUAUCGCCCUCCUCCUCCUGCUCUCUCUAGGUGUCUGUUGUCUCUUUGGCUGAGUGAUGACAGUCUUUGUGUGUGGCUCAUUUGGAACCAUCUCUGCUGCCUGUCCAUGUUUUUCUUUCUCUUGGAAUACGUUAAGGACUAAAUCACAAUUAUUCUUUCAGUUGUGGGAGAAACAGUUUGAAUCUCUUUUUUUUUCGCUGGACACUGAGCACUUUCCAUGAAAUGUGUAGAAUCUUAGAGGCUUCCCUUGCUCUUUCAAACUUGUUUGGAACUUGCCAAUUAUGCUGCUGUUAUGGGAAUAUUGCAGACAGACAGCCUUAAUGUUUAAAUUUUGUUAAAUUACCUUAAGAAACCAGGCUAAAGCAAAGCUGUUCUGCACAGCACAGCUUCUCUAAUCCGCAUUUAGUUUUGAAGGCCAUGAGAUGCUGCCAUGGCAGACUGGGAUUGCUGGAAUACAGCUACUCUUCAGAUAUUGCCCUCACCUUGGUUAAGACUCUUACACCAAAGUUAAGAGGAGAAAGUGGUACUAAACCACGUUGUGAUUCCCCAGUGCUGGAGGAAUCCCCAGCCAGCUCGGUAAGCUGGAUUCCUGCCUACUUUGUGCUGCUGGAGCAGUGCAAAUGAGGGAGGAUGGAGUCUAGAAUUUGGUCCUUUCUGUUGGCAAGCUGAGCUCAGUGAUUGGGGAGUAUGAGAAGAGGGGAGCCUUCUCUGUAUCCUCCAUGUAUCCAUUUUGGUACAGUGGCAGUAUUUGAAGUAGCCCUUUCCUGCAGAAAGCUGAGAGGAAGACUAAGAGCUGCUUGUCUGUUUGCAAUGCCUGUCUGUACAAAAAAUCGUGACCAAAGACAAAGCCAAGUAUUAUUAGAACUUGGCAAUGGCACAAGCACUAAAGCCCUAUUAAACGCGGGCAUUUGUUUUGUUGAAAAGACAUGGCUAUGAGUGGCACUGCUUUUAAGAUUUCUUAUACUUUCUGAGCACCAGGAUUAAACAGUUUUUCUUUAGCUUUUGGAAGUAGUUAAAUCUACACUUUUUUUCCAAACUUCCCAUUCCUAUAAAUCAGUAAAGUUUGAUUAAAAUCAAUAAUCGUUGAUGAGGAAGAAAGAUCUGUGCUAGUGUUUCUGGGUUUUGUUCUGUGCUGCUUUUCUUCUGCGUCUGUGGUUUAUUUUAUUGGUCAUAUUUGUGAAAUUGCAUCUCUUUUUCUUCUGGUUGUUUCCUGAUUGUGCAGAAGACAUUACUUAGUCAAAUUCCCCACUCAUUUACAUCUGUGCAGUCCCAGUGACUUCAAGGCCUUGCUCAAGUUCAUCCGAGAGGGGAGGCUGACCUAUGAGUAAGCUUCUCAUUGAUGGCAGCAAAGGCAGACCUCUGGCAGUGUUCUAGUUCAGAGCAGCCAAGGAAUACAUCUCCUCUGCAUUGAAUAUUCAAGCAAAUUAGAGCACAUAGUUGAAUGAUACUGUAAGCAAAUUGAAUUCAAACUGAAAAUACAGGCCCAGCAUUUUACAAAUUACUUCCAUCCUUAAAGCAGAAGUCUGUUUGCUCAACUAACAGACAAAUUAAGGCAAGCAAAUGUUUUAAUACUUUUAGCAGUAAUUCUCUUUUAGUAUUCCACACAUGCAUGUACUGAAAUCACCUGGCCAGUUUGCAUUAAGCUUCAGGAUGUACGAAAUGUCUUUACCUUUAUCAUCACUGCAUCUUUGCUGGGGAAGGCAACAGCCAGGCUAUUAGCAUGGUUGGGACAAUUGCCAUGCUCUUACCAGGUGGCUCUUCCUGCUCAGAGGAAAUGCUGCAAAAAUAGGCAUGGUUUCUGGAUCUGUGUCAUAAUGCUGUCAUCACCAUUAUUCUUGUCACCAUUGAAUCAGAUUAGUUACAGCUUAGAGCCUCUUUUGCUUCACCUAUCCUUAAUUAUUCUUAGUGUUUUGGCACCUUUUGCUAUGCAAAACCAGGUGAUCUCUGGACUGCUUCUCAAGAAUUCGUGAAAAGAUUGAUUAGAAUAGCAAACUUAACAUCAUAUUUACUGUUCACGUGUAUACUUCUCUACUGCAGAUUUCUGAAGAGUCUAUCAGAAGAGAGAACCCCAUGUGUCUUAGGCCUUUUCCUCCUCAUUGAAAUGGUGGGAAUGGAAAACAUGGCAAGGCAAAGGAUCUUGAUCGAAAUGUAUGUCUACCUUGCAGUCAGAGGUGGAUCUCUAGCACUGGUGGGUAACACUUAUCUCCUGGCACCAGCAGGAGUGAAAAUAGGGCAGUGCAAGCUGUGCGAGAGUUGAAGCGUACCAGAGCAUCUAAGAAUCUUACCCUGUGUAGAAGUCCAGUCUUCCUAUCUUCACCCUAUUAUUUACUUGUACCAGUUGUGCCUUUGUUUUGCUCUCUUGAUAAACCCUGCAUUGGCUACAAAUCAAUGCGGUAUGUCAGAUGUGGAUGAGCAUGGAUAUACAAAAUACACUGUACACUUCAUGUAUGUAUGACUUCAUUUCAGGGUUGGGUUCUUUGUGUACACAAAACACCAACCUUGUACUUCAUCCUGUAGAGUUCUAAUUCUUCUGUAAUCUCAAAAUCUGUUGGAUUAAAAUGUGCUCAGUGUCUCAAAGGAGUGGGUCCCUAUUUGUACUCUUAUGAUCUCUGAAAUGCUACGGGGUCCUAGCUGUGUCAUUUCUUGGGGGAAGAGUAGUAGAGAUGUGUACAAAACAGGCUCAAUUAAUGUCAUUAUGCAAUCAUGAGGCAGAUUAUUCAGAAACAAUAACUGCGUAGCCUUCACUGACCCUAAGAGGCUCAGCCAUUGACUUGGGGUGGAGCCUUUGGCAAGCUAAUUUAUCUUUUCAUUUAAUUUUUUUUUUUUUUUUCAUGAUGCCCUGCUGUAAAACUAAAAUAAUGCUUGACUUUCCUUCUAGGACUGACUGGAUUAGCUAGCUAGUAUUGAUAACUUCUUCAGAAAUAGAAAGCAUCACGGAAAGGCCUGGGAUAACCUUACUAUUUAGGCCUAGUGACUUUUUUUCUUUGCUGGUGUUAAUUUUUGCUAACUUAAUUUUAUUUAACGUACCUCUGUGGAUUUUCAUCUCCUGAGGACAGACUGGUCCAUACAGCCUCGUCUGUGCGGGUGAUGAUACCUUUUUAUGCUGCAUUUGUCUUCCAUAGCUUCUCCUGCAGAUUAUUGUAAUAUAGAUGCUGAAAUCUCUGUGGCUGCAAAUUAAAACUAAAGUUGUUUUAUCUAUCUAAUAAAACAGAAAAAUUGCUUUGAUGUUCCCAUUUUGACGAUUUAUGGCUGUGCUGACUUUUGUUGCUUCUUUCCUUAGGGACAUUUGUCCCUGGUCUCUCAAACAAAAUGUCACUGAGUAAAACUAUGUUUGUGUGAUGCUAUGUGUUCUACUUACAGAAGAUUUAGAACUUGGUCACUUUUAUUUAUGCUCUUGUGGAGCUGGUAGGAUUAUACGGCAGUGUUAAAAUGCAGCAGUUUUACUUUCCUGCAGGCAGCAGCCCUCUGGUGGUGUGGGGGGUUUUUCUUAUUUUUUUUUUUAAGUUAUCUCUGGAAAUUCUGACAGACUGACAGAAAAGCCUUUAAAAAUGCCACCCAUUAAGCUGCCACAUAGUCACACAUCUCUCUUUCCAAUCCUCAGUGCAUCACCACCCCCACCUAAAUUUGGAAGUGGAAUGUGAAAGGCAAAGCAAGGUUAAUACAUGGACACAGCUCAUAAUACCAAUGGUCUUAUUUGGCAAAAUGAUAUUUACCAAAUGCUAUUUGAGUAAGUUUUCAGCUUCAAGAACUAUUGCCUGGAAAGGGUAUAGGUCAGAGUAAAGUGGGUGGUGAGGCUAAUGGGUUAUUCUGAAGACUGGCUGAAUUGUUAGGAAUGCAGGCAUUUCUGAGGAGGCUGCUGAUGAACUUCAAAAUUGAAAUAUCAAAGAAUUUUUUAAAGGGAUGACCUUAGUAAUCUGUUAUAUGGAUCCUAAUGUUAGUUAUAGAUGGUUGCAAGUUGCUGCCUCGAAAAAAUAUUUUGGCUAAUAGGGAAGGAGAAUCUUCUCAUCAGUUCCCUAGGAGUGAAUUUUGCCAUUUUGUUAGUAUGAGAUUUAGCUAUCACUUGAGUCCUACUUAACACAUAUAUUGAAGUAUUAUGCUGUAUACUGGGAAGUAAAAAUGGGAGUUCAGAAAGUAGACAAAAUAAAAUAUUACUUCUUAUUGUUUGUGAGAUGGUAAGCCAGAGUUACGUGCAAAUGUUUUUUUAAAUUAUUAAGGCUGUUCCAGGGAUGCAUUUGGCUUGUUCCUUUUUCAAGACUACAGUAAAUGUCAAAAUCAUGCUGUAUCUGCAAGUGCAUUACUGGAUAAAUACUCUGUAGGAAGACAUACAAUUUUGUUAUGAUUGAAGCCUGAAGUUGUAUUUAAAAGAAGAAGGGGUGGGGGGCGGGAACGGGACAGAAAAACAAACAAACAAGCUUUUCUAUAACUGAAGCUGCACAGAAGCAAUGAUUUCUGCAGGUUCAGGUUUUAAGGCAAGUAAUUCCAGUUAAAAUUGGUUGGGUUUAAAUGCACUGAUUUUGAAACCCAUAGUGUGUCUGUAAAGAGAAAUGAAAGCUACUGAGUAGUUUUGUGUGUUUAUUUAUUUGUUUGUUUUAAAUGAGGCUAAUGGGAUUGGUAAAUAGAAAGCGUUAAGAUACAGAAUAAAUGCAAUGUAUGAGCACUUCUCAGUAUUUGGUUGAACUUCAUUCUGUGGACAGCAGAUAAUAAUAAAUUUGUGACCUUACUGGAUAAUGCUUUAGGUCAACUGUGAUAUAACUGCUAACAAUUAUCAAAAGACAUUUAUGUCAGCUGAGACACAUGAUGCAAAAGAAUUGUUUCAGCCUUCUUACUUUUGGGGCAUGUCAAUCUUGACUAUUUUUGCCAGAUUUGCCUCCCUUAUGAAUGCUGUCCAGCCUAAUGCAUGUGUCACUUGCACAGUUUGGGCUCAUGCAAAGUUUGGGGUCCAUGCAAAGAACUCUCUCCAUGUGCAUAGUUUAUAUAUUGAAGGGCUAAUGUAAACUUCUGACUUAAUUCUUGCAGUUAACAUAGGGUGAAAAGGAAGUAGAAUGAAAGCGGAAAGCUAGAAAGAAGAAAAUUCCAUCACCCCGCUACCAUUACCCCAUCGCUGAUCUUGAAGGUGUAAGGUUACUUGAGAUAUUCCCACUUUUAACUGUAAAAAAAGAAAUUUGGGACUCAAUCCACUAAACUGAGUAGAGUCAUGUUGGCAUAAAAAUAAGAUGAACAAAGGGGAGGUCUGGCAUCUUUAAAUGUUAAAAGAUCAGAGCUUUUGUAUCCUUAGAGCUAUUUUCUGAAAUGUUAAAAAGUGGAGAAUCAUAGUAAGGGUCCAGGCAUCACUAGCCCUUGAAUAAUUUCACAGUCUCCAAAACAUGAUUUUAUUUUUGAUUAUUCAGAUUCUUGUUUGUGAUUUAAAACACACAACAUUGUAAUACCUGCCUCAGUAGGUCACUGGCCAUUUUUUGGAGGCAGAAUAAAAAUGGGUUAUCACCUGCUCAGGCAUGGCUUAGGAAAAAAAAAAAAAAACAAAACAACAUAUAUAUAUAUAUAUAUAUAUAUAUAUAUAUAUAUAAAGACAGGCACACCUUGGGCCCUUUGUAUCCUUUUUCCUAUAUGUGCUUGUCAAAUUGGACCUGAGAGGCCUAAGCAAAACAACUUUCUGCCAUUCAGUGGAGAGGGUUACAAACUUCUAAACUAAAUCCAUAAAAAUGUUAACAAUGCAAAAGCCAGCGUAAGAUAAUUCACUUCUUAAAAAAAAAGAAAUAAUUUGCCCUGUCUCUACAUAGAAACAGUGAUGAAUCCAUGCUGUGUGAACAAAGUGGCAUGUAGUUUUGUGGAGAUUACUACUGUCUUCCAGUAAGUUAACAUCGCCAGUUUUAAAUGAGAAUUUUCAGUUUGUUCCUUCCAUAUUCUUUUAUGCUGAUAUAAUACACCGUGAGUGAAACACAUCCUGAUGUGGAAGGCCAAUUCUAGGCCACUUCAAACAAAUUUCAACUCCCUACAUUGUCAAAGCUGCUGGAUUUUGGUUUGUUGGUUGGUUGUUUUUUUGUUUUGUUUUAUAUUUGUGGUUUGUUGUUGUUUGUUUAGUUGUUUUUUUAAAUAAAAAGGAAAAAGUGUAGUUACUGGAGUGGGGAUGCGAUGAGUCAUCUUUCAACUAGAAAAGCAUAAUGUCCCGCCCCCCCCCCCCCCCCCCUUAUGUUUAUUUCCAGUCUAAAAAUAAAUUCAGGUGGUUUAUGUCCACUGCUGGUGGUAGGGUGUUGAACUUGGUGAGACUUUUGGUUUGAUCCCAGUGUAGCUGUACAUGUAUACUAGAAGGAAUUAAAUCUCCAAGACUUUAUUCUCUUAUUGUAACAGAGAAGCAGUUUCUAUUAUAGUGUCAGUAGCCUGUUGCAAAUGCACUUUUUCUGUUAUCUCCUAACCUGCAGCAUACUGAGACUUGAAAGGAAAUAUUUAAAAUUCAUUUUCCCGCUUACUGGCUAUGUUUUUGUUCCUGAGUGCGUUUGGUGAUGUGGCCUUUGCAAUUUUUGCCAUCCUAAUGUUUGUCCUGCUGUGAAGUUGCAUAGAUGUGCUAUAUCACUAUGUUUUGGCAGUUGUGUAAUGUGAGCCAGUUGAUAUGUAAAAUAGUAUAUAAUAGUAUAUAAUAGUUUUAUACUGUCACAUUGGUGUCCUGGAGUUCCUUGGUUUACUGUGGUUAUAAUAGGCUGUUUUACAUGAAAGUCUAAACUUCUCCAGGGUCAUCAGAUUUGUACCAUUUGUCUUUCGUUAAGAGAUUGUUUUACGUGAAAAUUUUCCUAUAAUGAUGGGUCACAUUUUUGUUUUUGCUACACGUGUGUGUUUACUUUUUUUUUUUUUUCCCGUUGCAACUCCGGUGCUUCAGUGACAUUUACUUGGAUUUACAGCAGUUUGAUACAGCAGUAUAACGUCCUACUGUGGACCUUAUUGUCUUCCAUGUGUUCAUGUAAGAGUUGUCAUACCGAAGUCAGAAAAUGUGUGCUGCCAAAAAGCUUUUCAAUGAAAAUAUUUUGUAGUUGCUGCUCCUGGACUAAGCAACUGUCGGGGAUUGGCUCAAGGAGCACGGACAUGAGUCCACCAAGCAACUGUACGAGCAGAGCCCAUUUUAGUUGACAUAAGUAGGCCUUAGUUAGCUUGUCUAUUAGGCCGUGGGAAAGGGGGGAACGGAAAAGUACUAACUAAGGCAGGGUCAGGAUAUCCUUGAAGAGAUAAGAGUCAGAAGAAUGUGGGAUGCGCAUAGCUAGCUAAACCCAAGUAGGUGGAGUAAGUAAAUGUAACCUUUUGGUGCUUAGCCUAUUAGAUAGAGACAAGUAUGCAUAAUUAUGGUAUUUGGUAUAAAUGCACGCUAUCUCGGGCAGUAAAGUUGAAGUAUGCUUUAUCACUCAUAUUGAGUCGGCUGCAUUUCUUCCUCCGCCCGCUCGGGUCUGGAACUCUGAUGGGAUUUCUCUCUGCAAGCAACUGCAGCAAAGACUGGACCAUAAGCAAUAAAGUGUAUAGAGAUAUUAGUCAAAUACAAUUUGAUUAUAAGUUGUACCAAAAAAAACCCUGAUAGAUUCAGUUAUUGUCAACAUUCCUUAAAAGCACAUACACUGCUGAAGAAGCAUUUAGUAAUUGCAAUGUGAGUGACUAAGAAGCAAUACAUAUGCAGCAGCGUUUUUUGUUGGUGGUGUGUUUUGUUUUGUGUUGGUUUUUUUCCCUCUGUUUUGUGUUUCCAAAAAAAACCCCAUCUCUGACUCUCAUAGUAAUAACUAUUGACAGUAUUGGAAGUAACUUUUUUAUUUUCUUAUCCCUCUGAUACUUUAUUAAAUCUUUUUUAUCUGGUAUUCAGCAGGUCAGUGGUAUAGGAUCAUCUUACUGCUCACCCUUUGAUUUUUCACUCCUUCCCUGUGGCAACUUUCCCUGCUGGAUGCAUCUGGAUUUAGCUUAAUUCUCAACCUCGCCAGCAGCACUGUAAAAUCGAACUGUAGCAUUUGAAAAAAAAACUGUUCUACUGAAAAACAAGCUGGAGCAAUCCAGACUUGGAUUUCAAAGGGAAUGGAAAGAUCUUGAUCCAUGUUGCUGUUGCAAGCUCAGCACCAUGGAGUGUGAUUGACUUGUAAGCUCACUCACCAUUAUCAAAAAAAAUGAAGGGUAUUUAGUGUAAUUACAGGCUGUAAAAGUGAGGUACAUGAGAUCCACAGGUAUAUUGGUGCUUUCCUUAUGCUGCUGUAAAAAUGGCAUGAUGGUUCUGAGGUUAUAAAAUCUUAUUUUAGGUUACACUGCUGCACAAAGCCCCACAAUUUAGCCAUGCAUUACUCCAGAAACAGUCUGACUUUGUAUCCCAUCACCUUAAUUUGAGUUGAUUUAUUUUAUCCAGUGUAACUGAAAGGUCAGGUUCUGUAACUAUGGGCUAGAUCCUCAACUGGUGCUAUUUAGAUAAGAGCCUUGGACUUGAUGCUGCUGGACUGACUUACCCUGGUUAUGGAUUUGACCUUCUAUAUUAAAGGCAGAGGCUAUAAAUUUGGGAAAGAGUCUACAUGUUGGAUUCUCUUUUUUCAAACAUUGCUGCUUGAGGGAAAUACAAAACCACACUCAUUGUGAAAGGUUUUGGUAUCUACAGUUUCAGAUAUCACAUGCUUUCUGCAGAGAGGGGUGUAUUUGUCUCUGAAAAAGCCUUUCAACUGUCUUUAUGUUUUUCUUUCUCUCUGUAAGUAAAUGAUCUCUGAAUUUAUAGCAAUUGUAUUUCUAUGUUGAUAUAAUAGUUGCAGCUCGGAUAUUGCCUCUUCUAAACUAUCAACAGGUACUUAAAAUUCUCUUAGAAAAUUGACCUUUGGGAUUAAAGUUCUUAUGUGACUUUUAUUCCAGAAAAUACUUUUUUCUCUCUCAGGAGAUUUUGAUAAAAAUCUAUAUGACUAGGUUUAUUUUAUCUGGCUGUUGGCAGCAGGAUUUUAUAAGGAAGGGGAGGUCACUAGUUCAGUUCCUUACUGGCAUUAUAUCCUUGAGAAAAUAAGGAUAAUCCAUCAUUUGAGGUUUACUGUGUUGCUUCCCAGUACUUAAAUUGCUCCACAUCAGAUGUUACAAUUUUUGUACUUCCUUUCCUUUUCAUUAGAAGGCCUAGAAGUUGUUAAUUUUGUGUUAAUACCUGUUGAUAAAUAGUCAUGUAGGUGAAACAUUCACAGUUAAAUAGAGAUACUGUUAGUUACAGGUAAAACUGAAAAUAUGAGUUCUAAACAUUUUUUAAUUUCAGGAGAAUGCUUCUAAGAAAAGUGGGUUUUAUUCCAGAACUGAGCACAACUGCAUACUUUUCAUCUGAGUAAGAUGCAAAACUGGUCCAGUCUUUGCUGUAGUUGCUUACUUUCAGAUCAAUUUUGGAUGUUGUCCAAAAUCCAAAAUCUCCUGCCAUUUGGCACUGUCAAGCCCAAACAUCAGCCAGUUCAACUUUGUAUAUGUCUACACUGCACUUAACUAGCCAGGCAAGAAGGAGGACUGCAAACUGCUGUGAUGAGUAAGGCUGAUACCUUAAUAAUUUGCUGAUUUGAAAGUAUCUUGGUUAUCUCUACACUAUCUGUUUUAGACAGAUUAGUUCUUGAUGGGCACAACAGGAAUGUUAUGAUAGAACAGUGGUUUUUGAAUCAGACCAGUGUUCUCUCUUGUUACGGUAUGAUGUGGGAGGUAUUUGUUCAGUGGACAGUUUUAGAAAUGUUGCAGCAUCACGCUUCAGAAUUACUAACAGUAGGGUUAUUUUUUUUGUCCCCAGUAUCUCUUGGUUAGUAAUUGCCUUCUAGUCAAAUGCGUUCAAAGUUUAUCUUUUGGUUGUGUUUUUUUUUUUUUCCAAAUAUAGGCAUCCGAAUUUAUUCCUAACAUCCAUUUGUAUUUCAGAUGCAUGUGAUUCUAUAUUGUGCAAACCCUUAAGUGAAUGAAAAGGAGCAUCAAAAUCCUUUUCUCAUUUUAUUUCCUUAUGUUUAAAACUUUUUUCCCUUUUACUUUCUCAAGAUAACACACAUGCUGUUAUUAAGGGCCUUCUUGAUAAAUCAUUUUUAUAGCUUUCAUCAUCCUGUUAUUAUUUAGUACAUCUCUUUUUCACUCAGGUCUUCAAAACUGGCAAUCUGUAUACUUUCAUUCUACCCUCAUAUGAUCUUCACACACUCAUCAUUUUUGCUGUUUGUCUCUUAAUGUUACCUAUUUCUGCUGUGCAUUUUUAGGUCAUUAUUCAAGCUGAGGAUGUAUCAUUGAUUUAUACAUUGGUAUUAUAUCAUUCUCAAGUAUAAUUUUUUCUCAUUGUUCAAUGUUUUGUUGUCAGUUUUGAUUACCUCUGCACAUCGAGUUGAUAUUUUUAUUAUGCUGUCUGCAGUAGUGGUCUUUUCUUGAAUGACUUGAGAGUCAGAAAUGUAUAUUACUAGUUCACGUUAUUCUUUCUAUCGUGCAUUUGUUGACACUGAAUUUCAUCUACAGUCAUGCUGUCCACCCACCAAACUUUGAUAUUUCGUUGUUUUAAGUGCUUAAAUGGGACUUAAGUAAUACAUUGGUCUUGUGCUAGCCUGUUCUGCAAGGGUAAGUAUUCACCCCUUAUGAACUGAUGCAGCCUGUCACAUGAAUCAAGUAUAUACUGUGUAUUUCCUAGGGCAAUAUAAAGGAUCAAAUUUCCCUCUUAACCCCUUCAGAACUGAAUUGAGUGUUGAUGCCAUAUCCGGAAUGUGCACCACAAACUUGAUGUGUUAUGAUCUCUAGUUCUGGUGAUCUAUCCCAGUGCGACCAUAGGGGAAAUACAGAAGUAGCAAUCUGCUGGAUACUUGAGACAUCCUGAUAUUGAAAAGGUCAUAACAAGGGUAUCCAGGUGUUGAAAGAUUUGUGGGGUUAUUCUGUCACUCCUAUUUGUAAGAUAGCUUGCCUUUUUUUUUUUUUUUUUUUCCCCCAAAGCAAGUCUGUAAGAGUUCCAUUAAAGCCUAAAAUAUUAAGUGAAAUUUUGAAGAAGUGACUCAUUUAUGCCCAUCUACCUGUUUUAUUAAAAUGAAAAUCCAAUUCUGCUUUGCUAUUUAAUGAAAAAUUUUCUAUGUGGGUGAGCAGAUGCCUGGACUCAAGCUUAGGAAGCUUAAUUAUUCAGCUAUCUCUGAUUUUAAGACUUGUUUCUUCAAACUUCUGUUUUGUCACUUACAACAUUGAUAAUGUUCCUUAAACAAACUACUUAGAGUUGCUGACUUGGUAUUCUAUAAACGCUAGACAAUUUUUAUGAGGUAUAACAUAAAAUAUAGCAGGGCUUGCUGAUGUCUGAUUUGCCUUUCUAUAGGUCAUCAAAAAUAUCAACUAAUUGACAGACUGGAUAAAACAUCUCUCCUACAGAUCCUCCAAAUGAGAGGGGAAACUAUAAAGCUAUGAAGGUGAUUCUUAGUCCUACUUCCCCAAAAUACCCAAACAAAAUAAAAUUGCAGUAUAAGGCAUGUAAAAAGGUGAACAGAUUUAAGUUUGGGGUUUUUUUUUGUUUGUUUGGUUUUUUUUGUGGGUUUUUGGUGUGUUUGUUGUUGUUUCUUUGUUUUUUGGUGUUUUUAUUUUGUGUGGGUUGGGUUGUUUUGUUUUGUUUUUUUUCCCCCAUCCCUGUGAGCUUAUUAUUACUUUGGUGCUUCUGGUUUGGGAAGAGCACUUGAUGGGUUCAGUGAUCACUGAUUGCUGUAAAAUUGGCAAACUGUGCCCAGCUGUUCAGUGGAUGCUUGUCUGAUCAUGGAAAUCCUGCUUAUGAAGUAGUGUAGGGAGAAAAAGAGAGGAACAUGCUGCUAUCUUAGUGGAUUUAGUUUUACACAGUAGCAUCUGCUAAACAGGCAGUGACUUUUACUUAGCAAUUUAGACUAAACCCCAUAAUUAUUUAAUGAGCAACCUCCCUCUUUCUCUCCCAUUUGUUUUGUUCCCCACCCACUAAAAGUGCUGGCUUGAAGAUCUCUGUAAGGCAUGGCUUGGUCUGUUUACCCACUGCCCGUCUUGGCUAUUGGUACAUUGUUUUGAUUUAUUUAUAAGUCUUUAUUUUUUAAUAUUUGUAAAAUUGUGGGGUGGGGGUGGAGAAACAGGACCUUUAAAUGACACACCACAGCUCUUAUUAACUAAUGAGAGGUGCCUCUUAACAUGACAUUUUUAGGGACUUAAGGAUCUUGACAAUAAUAUUUGUGGUUUGGGAAUGACCUUGCAUAUCAAAAGGUCUUCGCCUAUCCUGCAUGUCACCAUGAGUUAAACAUUCUGGUGAAACAGCACAAAACCAGUAAGUGCUGUGUCUGAGGCUUCUACAGCCUCUUUAUCCCCUUGUCAUGUUUAGUAAGAAAAUAAAAAUGGAUGUAUCUUUAUAGAGAAUAGGGAAAAAUUGUUGCUGAAAGGAAAGAGCUGUUUGUGUAUAGUCUGCAGGCUAUGCUGUUACUUGACUCAGUCAUGGGCAGUAUAUAGAAAAAGAACUGCAAGAAGUCUGGUAUGAAGCCACUUCAGAACUUUGCAAACAAACUUCUAGGCUCAUUAAAUUACUUAUGUCUUAAGCUAUUCUGGUUAAACUAAGUUUGUCUUACUUACAGGUACCUUUUUAUAUUAACUUUUAUUUAUGGUGUUAGAUGGGGAGCCUAGCAGAAGUUGUAUUUCAGUUUCCAAAAUCAACAUUUCUCCGGCUUACUAAACAGCUUAUGCUCAUUUACACCAACAUCACAAUGAGUUACUGAGGGGGAAUGAAUGUGUCAUCAGAACUGAGAAUUAUGAUUUAGAUUUAGCAGUGGAGAAGAGCAAUAUCUGCACUACAUGCAUAUGCUCAGGAAUACCAUUUUGUAUCUAGAGAUUUAGGUUGGGAAAACAAGAUCUAAAGGGGUUGCUGUUUCAAAUGAUACCUUCACUUAUAAUGAGGUUGUGAUAUAACUUAUUGCAGUUAUUAUCCAGUGUUGCACUGUGAAGCUUUGUCCUGAUCAUGCUUCAGCUUUGGGCUGAGUUCCCACUGAUGUGAACUCCUUAUCAGAGGCUUGAAGCCAAUCUGUUGUAGUCACCGCACUGACUGAAAUACUGUUCUUCAUUGGCAUUGUGAGUCUGGUGGAGUCAUCAGAAUGCGUCUUCCAAUCUGACACUUAAACCUCUAUGAGGGUUCAUUGGUAUGCCUUCUUUCUUUAGAAAUACUAUAGGACAAAACACAGGCUUAUUGCUCAUGUUGGCUCUGAAGUCUGAAGCAACUGCAAAACUUAUAAUUACAUCUAGUUCUUGAAUUGAGACCAUUAUUGCUUCCUGCAGUGGUAGCAUUUAUUUAUUAUCAUGGCAGGGCUUGGUGGAAGGCAAGUGGACUUUAUUUUUUUCACUGGAGUUUAAAUGAUGGCGGAAGUCUUACGAAGAUUCCUAAAAAUCAAGCCACUCUCCCAUCCAGUUUGGAUAGCCAGGAGAGAGAUUCUGCCUUCCUCUAUGUAUGUCACAGUUCAGGAGCAAUAGCUAUUUCGAAAACAAAGCAAAUAUGUGAGAAAAAUUGUGAUACUGAGGUCAUGCUUCCAGUGGACUUGCUUAUAUUUUUGCCAUUCUGGGCAACUUUAUUUUUGUGCCUCUCUAGAUAGGAGCGAGUAAUGUUGAAAUUAUAAUAUUAAAGUGCAUUACAGCUCUGAGGCCAAUUGUCACCAUUGUUGUAUGUAUAUAGCCCUUUCUGAAGUAGGAGUUACUUGGAAUUCUGGAAAUAUCAGAAACUGAACAAUGGGACACCUGUUUUUAACAUGGCUAGGUAACAGCUCUGUAAUGUGUUUAUAGUAAAAUUCCUAUCACCUUAUGCAAUGUCUAGAAAGGUCAUAGCAAAUCACAUUAUAACAUGGACAUGUGAUUGUCAUUGUAAAGGAUGAUCUCUGGCACAGGAUGAUGGUGAAAGUCAUUACUACUUCAUUUCUCACAUCAUUCGUGAACACUUAUUUUCUCAGCUGUUCAAACAGCAGAUAUCUAGAACCAAUUCAUUAAGCAGAGAUAAACAUCUGAUGGUUAUUGUUACUGUUUUCAUAUUAUGUAAAUACCUUGGGAGACAACCUCUCUAGGGGAGCUUCAUCCUGGCUGAGCAGUUGCUACCCUGAGAAACCCGCAUUCUGAAUAUUAAACUUCAUGGAUAUUAAGUACUGCUAGAGGCCAAAAAAAGUCAUUUAAAAAUAAAUGUAUUCUUUAUACUUGCAAAACAUUAUAUAUAUUAAAAAAAUCAACACCUUACAUGAUGAUGCCCCCCUCUACUAAAUAUUUUCAUAAUACAAAUAACUGAGAAUUUUAAACUAACUUUCUUCACUGACUCAUUUCACAUAUUUUGAAACAGGAGUGUCUGUACUCUGAAAAAUGCAUUAGAAAAUUGCAUGUGUAUGGAAAAUCUUUUUUUGUGUGUCUUCGUCAUCCUGCAGGUAUUAUCAUAAAACUUGUACUAUAAAACAUUAUUCAGUAAUAAUUGUUUCUGAGUUGCAACAGCUAUUCUGAGUGCCCAGCAGAACACAAAUUUUUUUUCACCAUUUUUUACAGACAAUGUAUCCUUUAGUUUGACUUUUUGUUUCUGUUUUUCAGACUGUGUUGAAUACAUAUAGAACAUUCAUACCAAUUGUAUACUCAUGUCUGACCUAAAACUGGCCUAAAUAUACAGGGUAACAAUAUACAAUUUAUGGAUUCUUAGCACAGUGAUAGAUGGCACUGCAUUUGUUCAGCUUCGAGUUCUCCAGUGAUAUUCUUGAUCCCGAGGAAUUAAGCAACCUAUGUAAUUUUUUCCACAGGAGUCCCAUGUAAGAGCAGGAAAUCCUUGUUUCUGCAAACAAAAGGAGCUGUCCAGCAUUUUCCAAGCUGAAUAUAUUGAAACAAUGAGAAACUUGAAGUGGCUUUUAAUGUUGUCUUUCAAUCCUUUAAAAGCUUCUCAUAUAUGAAAUAUUUUUCUAUACAUUAGGGCUUGUAUGUUUAUAUAUUAAUAUAUUUCUGUAUGUUGAGAGAAACUCCAGAUAGUCACAAAGACAAAUACUGUUUGUAGCCUAAUUCUAGCAGUUGCAGUGCAAAAGCGAUCCAAGCUUCAAACUUCUGAAUAUCCUUAUGAAGCCUCCAAAAACUUCUGAGUUUGACAAAGGGUACAAAAUGAAGAAAAUUGGUUUUAACAGCAGUGAUAAACUUUGAUGCAUCUAGAUAUUUAGACUAAAUAAUAAAGAGUUGUGUCUAAAUUAUGGCACAGCUGAGAAUAUCAGUAAGGAUGGAAGGAAAGGAGAAGAGAGGUGUAAUACUCAGAUUAUUGAUUUACUUGGUAUCAAAAAACAUUUUAAAAAUUUCAGAAUUAAUGAGACAUAAAAUCAUCUCCCUCCUUUGCAGCUGAUUCUUAUCAGCCAGUUAUAAAAGAGCUAUUGUAGGAGAAGAGAGCAUAUCAUUAGCUGUUAGUUCAGAAUGACUCUGCAAAAUAGUCCAUAAAGGUCUACUGACAUCUUCCUGACAAUCUCCUAAAGGUCUCAAAGCUGCUAGUUGUUGCAGCAUAUCAUGCUGUCAUCAGACCUGGAUCUGAGUUGUAUAGCAGAAAUGUCCUCACUCUGCAAUUUGCUUUAAAGCCACAGUCUCUGGAUAAUGUCACUCAGGAAGAUAUGCUUCUACAGGGGUCAUCUGAGCUCUGUGUUAACCUGUGUAGCAGUAGGGGUGAUAAGUUUAUCACUAAUACAGUCAAAUUUUCUGCCAACAGCCUUUACGGUUGGAUUUCUACACUUAAUAUCAUUUUGUUUGUUUGUUUUUUAAAAAAGGAUGGUCACAUCCUCUCUGCAGAGUAGCACUUGCUGGCAAGUCUACUUUGUGACUUUUAGUAUGCAGGCUGUAAUGUAGUAUAUUGUUCCUGGAACACUUUUUUUACUUGAAAAUAUAUUUCAACAGUAUUUAACCUUGAGCGUCCCAAACUGCCCAGCCAUCUUUCAUUAUGCAGAUACUAAUCAUUGUGAUAUCUAAAUUUUCAUUACUGUCAUUUUUUUUAAUAACUGCUGUAGAGACUGAGGGGUGGAAGAAAAAGGAUUUAAAAGAAUGAAAGCUCUAUUGAAGUCAGGUAUUAUAGGACUAUUAUGUGUUACCUACUGUCCUGGUUUCGGCUGGGGUAGAGUUACUUUUCUUUCUAGUAGCUGGUAUAGUUCUGUGUUCUGGAUUUUGUUUGAGAAGAAUGUUGAUAGUACAGGAAUGUUUUGGUUGUUGCUAGGUAGUCAAGAACUGUUUGGCUUCUCAUGCUCUACCAGGUGCACAAGAAGCUGGAAGGGAGCAAAGCCAGGACAGCUGACCCAAGCUGGCCUCAGGGGUGUUCCUUUCCACGUGGUGUCAUGCUCAGUAUAAAAACUGGGGUUGGUGGGGGGUAAAAUACUUCUGCUUGGGUGCAAACAGCCUGUCGGUGUUGUGGGCAGUGAGCGAUUGCAUUGUGAUUUGCUUGUUUUGUAUAUUCUAUUAUUAUUAUUAUAUUCUCUUCCUUUGCUGUCCUGUAAAACUAUUCUUAUCUCAGUCCAUGAGGCUUUUUUCCCUUUCCUGUUCUCUCCCCUGUCCCACUUGGGAGGGGACUAAGCAAGCGGUUGCGUGGUCCUAGUGGCUGUCUGAGGUUAAACCACAACACAUGCAAGUUAUGUUCACUUGCAGGAAGUUACAGCUGGGUGAGAACGUAUUUUGAUUGUUCAAAACCAUGUGAUAAGUUCUCUUCCUGAAUGGUGAAAGGCAGUGUUGGAAGUGGAAUCCUCUCCCAUUUAGCUCAUGUGAGCCAGGUGUCAUGCUGCCAGCUGGAAAAGCAACAUUUCCAUUAGUGCUUUGCCAAAUGUGCCACAUUCUCUGAGGCAGGAUCAGCCCAUUUUUGCUUUGCUUAUUUUUAGGGCUGACAACUAGCUUGGUUUACACGUUUUGAUCCUUGGUGUAUUUUGAGAAUAGCCUUCCAGUCAUUCUGAAUGGCAUGUGUUGCUUUGAUAUUAAAUUUUCAUAUUAUGAGUUCCAUUGAAAAUGUUUUCUACCCCUUCAGUAAAAUGUUGGUUUAUACCAAAGUAGUCUGAGAGGCAAAUUGGCUGCAUAUUUCAGGAGGUAUUAAUGAAGAGUUGUAAACCUAAAUAUCUUAAUUAGUAUGAGCAGAUUUUAUGAAGAUAGCUAGCUAUACUGUGUUACUAUUGCCACCCACAAAUUAUCCCAGUAACCAGAAUAACUGAGGGUUCUUCCUUGUGCAUUGUUAUCUGGUGCUGGUGAGAAAGUGGGGAGCCAUUAAAAGCAGAGGACAGUGCUACCUACAUAUAUAAUUUUGAGUCACAACAGUGUGUGAUAGUUCUCAGAGAAUGUUUCUCUAGUAAAUGACAAGGGGCAGCAGGGAGGGAGAGAGAAAAAAGUGACUGGAACGAUGGUGACAUUUGAAAAGGGAAGAGCCUUGUCAGAGGCUUGACUUUGUACAGAUAAGAAAUAUAUUUUCGGAUUGUGCAGGAGGUUGGGAGAGGCUGCUGCACUGGGCAGAUAAGAAGUGGGGUUACAUGCUGGUUUAUCUGUAAGGAGAUGGAGUGUUCCUCUCAGACUUGUGGUGUAUUUAAUUUAGAUCACAAAAUCCUAAGGGAUUUACAGUUAAUCGUAAACCAGCAUAGAUUAAGAAAAACCCUCUGAAACAUAUUAUAGUGAGAUAUAUUGUAUAUGAAUGGAUGUAAGUAUACAUAAAAUAUAGUUUAGCUGAAUGAAAGGUCAUUCCACUGUACUAGUGAAGGACGUUGUAAAUGUUUCUUGUGGGAAAUGAAAUGUAGGUGUGUUAGGGAAUCUUGCUGAAUAUAGUGCAGGGUAUGCCCUUUGGCUGUUAAACUGGCCCCUGCAUGGGCAGCAUGCGUGAUGAUGUGACUUCUUCCAGUACCAGGCUGAUCUCUGGUAGGAACUCUCUGCUGUAAAUUACACCAGAUCUCAGGCAACCCUGGGAAGUUAUUUGGUAUCCAGAAAAUACCUGGUUUUGCUGUACAUGUUGUUUGUUGCACUUAGUGAAGGAGAUGAUAAUACUUGGUAUGGUUUUUAAGUUUUCAUGUUUUAACUCAUACUGGUUGUGACAGUUGUUCAGUAAAUUAAUUCAUCUGAGUUCUAAAACAGGUACCAUAUGGGCAGUGGUAGUAUGUUUAUUUUCAGAUUGCUUCAAUAUAUUAGCAGGGCAGCAGACACACCAAAAAAAAAAAAAAAUCCAAAAACCAUACACAAAAACCCAUAAACAACAACAACAACAAAACCCCACCCCACCCCCAGACGUACAAACGACCAAACAGAAAAACCCACAACCAAAUAAACCCCAAACUAUUUUUAAGCUUCCCUACCCAUAGUCGCCAUGGCCUUUUCAUUCCUGCAAAUUUUAGUGCUUUUUCUGCAACAUACAGCACAUCUACCAUGCUGUAGUAGCUAUGACUGCAAUCUAUAGGCAUCCUUAAACUAUCUUUCAUCUUACUAGGUCAACAACCUACAGAGUGAAGCAACAGCAUUACAGACCUGGGCUGGAUAAACUCACCCAGACCUUAAGUACAUGGAUCAAAAAACACCCAGCCAGUCCUGAGGCCUUGCUGCUGUUCUAAUUGUGCUCAGGAAGAGAGAAAAGGGCGUCCUGAUUCCCUGCAAUCUGCACCGUUGCUUGUUCCUUGGGACCCCACUAGUCAAAACAACGGGAUUCAUAUGUUGGCGACAGCUGAGAGACCAAAGUAUGACCAGAUGGCAAGGGGGAGCUGAGCUGUCUGUUUCUGCAAGCGAUAGGCACAUUAUGGUUAUUCUCUUCUGGGGACGAGGGGGUGGAGAGGAGGGGGAGGGGGAGAGAGAAAGAGAAAGAGGGAGAUAUUAGAUAAACAGACUGUAGCCUGAAUACAUAUGACAUGUGGGAGGAAAGCUUUGUUAAGCAAGAACUGAAAGCCUCUUGCAGAGCAUUAAGCAGCACCGCCUGUGCAUUGGACUGAGCCAAAGCAGAGGAAACACAAGCACGAACCGGUAAAAUGGUUGCAAGGCCAGCAAGGUUCACCAGGCCUCUGCAGAGGUGCCUGAAAGUACUGGACAGUUUUACUGUUCCCUUAGAUCAGCUUUCUUUUUUUGGUAGGAAGGGUCAUUUUGUAGCAGAGCUGCUAAAGGUGUGUUUUCCUUAUCUUUGUGAUGUGUAAGCUAUGUUUUUAUGAGUCAGAGUUGAUUCAUAGCUUCAUUCUGCUAGACUUUUUCAUCAGCUUAAUGCAUAGGAGAUCGCUUUAUGGGCUUCGGGGUCUCUGCUGUUUCCACUGAAGUCACUGGAAGUUCAGUCUAGCCAGUGAUUUGCAGGUGGUGCUCAGCAUGCUCUGUAAAUAGGGAAUGCAUCCUUGAUCUACAUCACUCUGAGAAUCAUCUGGAGCCUGCUGAAAUCUCUAAAAAGAUUUCCCACUUCACUGUAUUGGGGCCUGGAUUAUGUCUUCUGAUAGAAACUGAAGUAUACGUUUAUCAGUUAUUGAUAGAAAAGCUAUCAAAUCUUUUGUUACCCUCCUCUCUGGCUCAGGAGCAUAAGUUGCAAUGUUUGUCCCAUUUUCUUCUCAUGUUUUUUUGAAUGUUCUUGUGGGUCAUGAGUGAAUGAGUAACUAGAACAACUGAUAAUUGCAUUACACAGAAACGGAAGAGAAAAUUUUCAUUAUUUUGCUUAUGUGAGGACAGUGUCUGUCUAAAAACUGACCACAGAGAACAUUUGUUUGAGAAGGAUUUGAUAUUUUUUCCCAUCUACACAUCAUAUACUAGUAAUUUUACUUCCUUUUCCCCCCCCCUUUUGUUUUGACUUUUGCUUGUCUGAUUUGCUGACCUUUGAGUAGUUCUUUCUGAAGUAAGGUGAUAUGAAAGCACUCUCCUACUGUUGUUUUCCUGACGAACUGCCCUUUCGCUCUGGUUUACAUAGGAGGAAACGUAACAGAUGUGUUGAUCUGUGGCACCUAACACCACUGUUGAAUAACCUAUUGGAGUGUUGGAACACGGUCACCAGCUUGGCAUCCCUGCUGCUCCCCAGAUAGCUGCUGUGACAUUGAUCCAUGGGGGGCAGGGGCAGAAAGCUGAUUUAUAGAUGUAGUCUAUUGCCUGGAGGAGUGGGAUAGCCAAGAUUACAUUCUGCCUGGUUUUGGUCAUAAUAAUACAAAGACAUUAGGUGGCCUUUGCUACACAAAAAAUACAGCUGGAAAACUGAAAAUUUUGAUACUUAUACAUACAUAAUGAAAACCUUAAAAACAAAGAAACAAAAAACCAAAACCAAUAGAAUACCAACCUUUUGUUGCUUUAUUUAUUUAUUUUUUAUUUUUUUUUUAAAGAAAAAUAAAACCCUAAAAGCAUUUAAACUCUUUUUGGAAGGAUGCUGAGUCUUGUAUGCCAGUUUUCUAUUCACUUCUUGGAAAACCUUUUGCAGUUCCAUAUGGGACACCAUCUUUUAGAACACUGUUAUUUUAAUUAGUGAACCAAAAAAAGCAUUCUGCUAAUUACUGUUGCUUAUCUAGCUAUGCAGAAGUCCCUUUCACUGUUUAAUAGUAGUACAACGCAUAUAACCACAAUGUAUUGGAGAUUAACUUUUUAAAUUUUCUUUUUGCUGAUAAUAAUAGCUGAACCAGAGAUGCCGGUAAGUUUUUGUUGUCACCCUCACUGAUCAGAUACUUUGUGAUACAGUCUUUCUGCAAAACUUCUACCCCAUUGACAGGACUCAUAAAAAGUUAAGUAAACUUCAUUUUGUUUAGAUGCAGCUUUUCAAUACAUGACCUUAAAAGUUACUUCCAAUUAAAGGGAAAGAAUAAAAUAUUAAAUUGUUCCAAGUUUGCUUUACUUUUAAAAUGUCUGCAGUUACAUUAGGAAAAAUUUCUCUGUAUUGUAAAUAUGAAAGCCUGUUAAAAACUACUACUUCAUUUCUAAUUUAAAUAACGCAGAAAGCAUCAGUUAUUUUAUAACAGAUAAAUAAGAUACGCAGUUCAGCAGUAGCUGUGUAAUAAAUGCCAUUAGUAUUGAGAUGUACCAUGUUUGCAUACUAUAAAGGGAUACAGGUACUAGGGAGAAGGCUGGAGUUCUCCUCAUAUAUUUUAUAAUAGUAGCUAGCUCUUCCACUGUGUGUAGGAUCUUGGGUUCUUAAAUCCAUAUAUAACAUGAAAAUGCACCUAUUUUUCGCAAAAUUCUGUCAGCAUGAACCUGUCACUUCUGUGAGAUUUGGCAUUGUCAGGUCAUUUUGCAAAUGUGAUGGUUUUGGUAUUUUCAAAAUGUUUAUGUGACUUUGUAGUAUACAAAAUGAUUUGGUUUUAAGCCAGAAAAGCGUAGCCAAAAAUAUCUAAACCAAUAUGGUGAAUAUAAACUGUGUAAUUAUUUGGUCAUUUGCUGUUCUUCUGGAGUUGUCAUCUUUUGUCAUUGGCUUUGUUAGGGGCAGGACUGUGUCCAUUCCAACUCUUCUAUUUUGGAUGAUCCAUUACUAGUUUGGUGUUGAUAGUUUUUUCAUUGUAAUCUGCUAUUAUCUGAACUAGUAGGGAGGAAUCUUAAUACAAAGCUGUAUUUAACGGUUUAAGUUUGCUGUCUGUUUGGCCUAUUCCAGUGUUCAUGGUCGAAUUGGGACAUCAGCCUCCAAGCCAAGGAAGCAAAGAAGAUAACUGGAAUAAGGAUCCACAAAGUUAAAUUCACAUUUUGUCUUUCUCUCUGCUAUUAAGUUACUUUGACAUUUUAAAAACAUUCAGGCACAGGAGUUUGUAUCAUAUCCCAUUAAUGUUCAAUCUGAUUGUUUUGAGAACUUGUACCUAGAAUUAAAUAACUGAAAAUAAUGGACCUUGAAAAUUGUUCUAGAGGUUUCUAAGCUUCAGUUUUCUGUAUGUAUAAAUUGUACUCAUCUACCUCAUGCAUAUAUUGGACUGCUAAUGUAAGAAUUGAAAAAUGCUCUGCAAUUAUCAGAACAGAGGUGCCCAGUACUUAUCUUAUAAAAAUGACAGAAUACACUUUGUAUCUUGUCUCUGUGUUUCUUCCUCUUUGCUCUUUGAUUUUGCUGCCAAAAUGCACUUGAAUGUCACCAUAUCCAUGCUGUUAUAAUCUGAGACUUUUCAUCAUGUGAAUAAACUGGCAGCUAUUAGUGGCAAUGGAGAUGUUUUUUAAUUUCAACUCUUCAGUACAGCACUAGAAGUUCUAAGCAUUAAUGACUGCAUUCUUGGAUCAGUCCAUAUACUGAAAUGAAAGAGUACCCAUGUUUUACAGUGAUCAAUUUUCUGUAUAGAAAAGUCAACCAUAAUUGGGACUUAAAACAGCUCUUAGUGAUGGCUGCUUUGAUAAAAAGUGAUAGGAUGAGAUCAGUGGAUUGUGGUUGGCAGUUUUUUCUGAGCAAAAGGCAGGUUACUGGAGUUUUCAUGUUCUGAAUGUAACCUGACUACAGUAGUUUACAGCAUUUAGUUUGCUGCUAUAGACUCACACUUUAUUGUAUCACCAGUGGAUCACAUAUUUCUUACGUGAUUACAAGUGUAUAUGAGAUUAAUUUAUUUCUACUCAGUUACUUAGUUCAGAUAAGGAUUUCCUGUUCUGUGCAUACAUACUUACUCAUUACAUUUUCAGUUUCUUAAUCACAAUUAAUAACACACUAGGUACGUUUCUAUAGCAACUUCUACGCAGGGAUCUCAAAGCGCUUUAGAAAUGUUAGUCUUAGUUUCAUAAUAGCACUCAGAUAAAAUGCAUAUAAUUAUUCAUAUUUUGCAAGUGGGGAAACUGAAUUGGAGAGGUUGAGUUGCUGACAGAUGUACAGAAAUUGGUAACAGAAUUAGGACCAUUAUCUGAAGAUUUGAUCUGAAGCCUAUUGGAAGUGCUUUGAUUUUGUCACAGCUUUCUAAUUCCUUUGCAGUGUUAUAUCCACAAAACCAAGUAUCCUUCUGUGAUGAGGCAGCCUUGAAUAAAAAUCCUGUUUUCCCAUAAGGUUUCUCUUUUGCCCUACCUUUAGACUACCUUACAAGCUUUCUGAAACAAUCACUAUUCAUGGUUGCAGAUUUUUACAUUUCAAAAACCACUAAAUGCCGGAGAAUAUCCACAUGGGAAGGGGAAGAGGACAGGUUACCAUCUGAACAUUUUGACCAUUUGUUCCAGCUGUGCAGACAAAACCAAGACUAUUCUCAGUUUCUCUGAAGGCAGAUAGAUUGCUUAAAGCUCAUGUCCUUUGCACAAUAUCAUCGAUUGAUAUCUCAGUAACGUCUAUACAGGAAGUGGGAGGAAAUGGAGGCAUCUUGCUGCUUUUUUUUCUUUUCCUAAUGCACUUAUCUCAUUUUAUUUGAACUCUAUUUGCAAUUAAAGCUAUCUUGAACAUUGCACUCAAGAAAAGUAUAGUUCUGUCUGAAAUACAGUUGCUCAGCUUUACUGAAGCAGAGAGAGAUUGGGAUAGAAAAAAAAGUCUUCAUUUUCAAUCCCCAUUCAAGAAGAACUGAAUUCUCCAUGUACUCAACUGAAAUGAAUUUAAUUCUGUUCUCCUCCUUACUUGUUCCCUCCACCUCCCAAUAGCUGCCCAGCAAAGUGAAACCAACUCUACAAAAUUAAGAACUUGUAAUCUUUUUACUUGAGAGUAAUAUCUAUGGUGACCAAAGAAAUAAUUUGUUUCUAGUGCACAAGUGGUAUUGUGGACUGACAAAAAUAUUUCUUUUUCAAAAUUCUUUAUACUUCCCACAGCAAAAUGAGGUAGGAAAUGCAGCCUUUCUUUCCAUUCUCUCAGGAGACCUACAUUCAGGUUUCUGUCUCUUCUACAAGCUCUGUUUGCUCAUCCAUCACUCCGCAUGUUUUAGCUUCCAGUCUGUAAAAGGAUUUUCAUGAAGUUUCCUUUUCUUUGCUUGUCUGUCUUCUCAGUGACUAGAGGAAAGAAAACUUGAUCUUAACUGAAACUUUUAUAGUGCCAUAACACAAAUAAUAAUGAAAUAGAUGGAGAAAAAUGAAUCUGAGAAAGAAAGGAAUGAAUCCUUUCUGGCUCUUGUUUUGCACCUUGCACUAGUCAUGAUGCUGGAGACUUAGAAAUCACACCUUUGACUGAGCAGUGCACUGCUGCUUUUGUCUGCAGGAAGCAGGCAGGUUUUCUUCAAUUUUGGAUCCUUCAGGAGAGUUGUCUGUUUGUAAAAAGCUUCUUUCCUUCCUCUUCUCUCUCCCUACUUGUUUUGUCCAGUUCCUUCACUUCUUAUUGAAAAUGAAAGGUUACUGACAGCCAGAGAAAUGGAGGGUAGAAUUGUGAAAUUCAUCUUUAUGGCAUUUAGUGUAGAUGUUUGUCCAAAGUUCACAAGAUGGCUUUGAGAUUCAGAGCACAGUGAUAGAAGGUUUUAUUUCAGUUCCUGGCAGAGUGCAUGCAGAUCCAGUAAAAAAAGAAAAAAAACCCUCCCCUCCCAACAACCAACAAACCAAUUACAAAAAAACCCAAACCAAACAAUAAGCAAAUUCCCUAUAUUUUGCAGUCUGUAGGUAGCUGGAGUAACAGGAGCAGGAUAAAACUUGAAUAUAUGGAAAGGCUGUUGGGAAGCUAACUUUGGCUAUUGUAAAUGGCCAGCCAGUACCUGCUAGCCCAUGAGUGUUUGAGUGCGCCCAUCCUAUCUUUUACAAAGCCCCUGCUUUCCUAGGUAUUUUAAAAAAAUUAGGACUGUUAGCCAGCUUUAAGUUUUUGUAGAGCAGGAGGAUUAUUUUGCAGUGUCAUCAUUAAAAAAUGGAAUAAAUCAGUGUUGGUAAGGAACAGUUCAUGAAUACUUUGAGUGUUGGUGCACUUGGCACUGCUUAAUUACACACCCUAUUUAGUACAACUGGUGACAGCAGAGCAUGCAGUUUAUAUUGUUUGCUCUAGGCACUGGUAUUUAAAAGGCUCCAUUAGUCAGUGUAACAUUUUGGGAUGUCGGUGCUGAAGGUUUGCAUCUUAAUGUAAGGGUGUAGAUGAUACUUGCCGAUGACCUGUUGUUUGCUAACAGAGGAGGACUUGUGGGUGCUGUGAUAGUUGGAGACGGUCUUGGCCACAGUGAUCAUGAGGCAGUAGAGUUUUCAAUUCUCAGAGAAGUAAGGAGGGGAGUCAGCAGAACUGCCACCUUGUACUUCUGGAGGGCAGACUUUGGCUUGUUUAGGGCCCUGGUUGACAAAGUCCCUUGGGAGUCAGUCCUAAAGGACAAAGGAGUCCAGAAAGGUUGGACACUCUUCAAGAAGGAAAUCUUAAAGGCAUGGGUGCAAGCCGUCUCCUUGUGCCAAAAGGAAAUGGCAGGGAAGAAGACCAGCCUGACUAAAUAGAGAGCUUUUUGGCUGGAACUCAGGAAAAGGAGAGUUUAUGAUCUUUGGAAGAAGGAGCAGGCAACUCAGGAGAACUACAAGGAAAUCAUGACAUUAUGCAGGGAGAAAAUUAGAGGGGCCAAAGCCCAACUAGAACAGAAUCUGACUACUGCUAUAAAAGAUAAUAGAAACGUUUCUCUAAAUGCAUUAUCAACAUAACACCCAUCUACAACAAGGGCCGGAAGGAGGAGCGAGGAAACUACAGUCCUGUCAGUCUGACCUCAGUGUUGGGGAAGGUCAUGGAGCAGAUGAUCUUUGGUGCCAUCAAAUGGCAUGUGUAGGACAACUAGAUGAUCAGGCCCAGUCAGCAUUGGUUUAUGAAAGGCAGGUCCUGCUUGACUAGGCUGAUCUCCUUCCAUGAAAAGCUAACGUACAUAGUAGAUGAGGGAAGCGUUGUGAGUGUUGCUUACCUGGGCUUCUGUAAAGCCUUUGACACUGUUUCUCACAGCCUUCUCCAGGAGAAACUGUCUGCUCAUGUCUUGGAUGGGCAUAAUCUUGACUGGCUAAAGAACUGGCUGCAUGGCUGGACCCAAAGAGUUGUGGUGAAUGGAGUUAAAUCCAGUUGAUGGCCAGUCAUGAGUGGUGUUCCCCAGGGCUCAGUAUUGGGGCCAGUUCUGUUUAAAAUCUUUAUCAAUGAUCUGGACAAGGGGAUUGAGUGCGCUCUCAGCAAGUUUGCAGAUGACACCAGGAGUGUUGAUCUGUUGGAGCAUAAGAAGGCUCUACAGAGGGAUCUGUACAGGCUGGAUCAAUGGGCCAAGCCCAAUUGUAUGAGGUUAAACAAGGCCAAGUGCUGAAUCCUGCACUUGGGUCACAACAACUCCAGGCAGUCCUACAGGCUCAGGGAAGAGUGGCUGGAAAGCUGCCUGGUGGAAAAGGAUCUGGGGGUGUUGAUUGACAGCCAGCUGAACAUGAGCCAGCAGUUUGCCUAGGUGGCCAAGAAGACCAACUUCUGGCUUGUAUCAAGAAUAGUGUGGCCAGUAGCGCUAGGACAGUGAUCAUACCCCUAUACUCGUCACUGGUGAAGCUGCACCUGUGUUCGUUUUUGGGCCCCUCAUCAUAAGAAAGACAUCGAGGUGCUGGAGAGAGUUCAGAGAAGACCAGUGAAGCUGGUGAAAGGUCUGGAGAACAAGUCCUGUGAAUUGCAGCUGAGGGAACUGUGAUUGUUUAGCCUUGAGAAAAGGAGGCUGGCAGGAGACUUUGUCACUCUUUACAACUACCUGAAAGAAGGUUGUAGCAAGGUGGGUGAUGGUUUCUUUUCCCGAGUAACAAGUGAUAGGAUGAAAGUAAAUGGCCUCAAGUUUGCCCAGGGAGGUUUAGAUUGGAUAUUAGGAAAAAAUUCUUCCCUGAAAUGUUUGUCAGGCGUUGGAACAGGCUGCCCAAGGAAGUUGUGGAGUCACCAUCCCUGGAGGUGUUUAAAAGACUUGUAGAUCUGGUGCUUAGGGACAUGGUUUAGUGGUGGAAUUGACAGUUUUAGGUUGAUGGUUGGACUUGAUGAUUAUAAAGGUCUUUUUCAACCUAUGUGAUUCUGUGACUUUGUGACUAGAGUAACUGCAUAUUGUUGCUGUCACCUUUAACAUGAACUGUGUUACAGUGUUGGAUCAAAUUAAUCUUCUGUGCUACUGAAACAAGGUGAUUGUGCUUGUCAUAAAUAUUUGUUGUCUCCUAGUAGUGUGUAAGCAAAGAUUUGUAAUGAUAAUGAUGUCCAGGAAAUGCCUAUUUCUACCCUAGUAUAAAUAGCACUUCAGCUGCUUUUUCCUGGGAUAAUUUUGUGUGUUUUGAAAUUUCCUUUCCCGUUAUAAUUUUUCUGGUUAUUUGCAAUCUGUUUGUCAGUUAGCAUAGUUGUAAUAUUUGGUCCAGGAUCAAUACUUGACCCACCACUUCUAGCUUAAAGCUUGCUUUUGGUCCAAGAAACUCCAUCAUUUGUUAGAGCCUUCUUGUCUUUCAGUUUCAGCAAUAUGUGCUGUGUUUGAGGAAAGUGAAUGUGUACUUAAGUUCUUGCAAAGAAAUGUUGUCUCGCCCCACUGUAUAGGCUAUGUGGAUGUGUUCCAGUGUUUCACUUGGUUUAUGAGAUCUUCCUUGCCGUGCCCCAGUCAUUAACAGGACAGAUCCCUGUUACUCUGUUAUAGGGUAAGGUUUACAGAGCAGCCUAUGUCUAUUCUUCUCUGGAAAACUGUAGUUGACAAAAUCUAGAAAAAAAUACUGAAGAAAUUUUUUAGUCUGUGUAUGUAGCUGUGGACCGAUGCUUAUGGGGCUGUGGACAGACUCAUAGAGGAGACCAUACAAGUCCAGUGUAAAUAUUUUUAGGGAGGGUUGCAAAACCUUUCUAAUUUGCUAAAGCUUUUAUACCUCCAUAGUGUUCACAGUGUCAUUUAACCCUCUAUCCUAAAUCUCCAGGGAGUCCUUGUUGUGGCCUUUCAGUACUUUAAAGGGGCAUUUAAGAAAGAUGGAGACAGACUUUUUAGCAGGGCCUGUUGUGAUGGGACAAGGGGUAAUGAUUUUAAACUAAAGGAGGGGAGAUUCAGGCUGGACAUGAGGAAGAAAUUUUUUACAAUGAGGGUGGUGAAACACUGGCACAGGUUUCCCGGAGACGUGGUCAAUGCCCCAUUCCUGCAGACAUUCGAGGCCAGGCUGGAUGGGGCUCUGAUGUAGUUGAAGAUGUCCCUGCUCAUUGCAGAGGGGUUUGGACUAGAUGACCUUUGAAGGUCCCUUUCAACCCAAACUAUUUGAAGAUUUUAUGAUCUUCAAUGAAAACCGGAUAUAACGCUUUGUUGCAUGUUUGAAGUCUUCAAGAGAUUUACAUUGCCAUCAUACACAGAAGAGGUGAAAUGUGUUCAGAUGCUGAAAUAAUGGGUGACAGAACAAAGUUAAAUACAGGGGGAUCGAGAAGAAUACACAUUUCUAGCUCUUUGUUCUGAUCGAUAGACUGGCUGUUGUCAGUCUGGACCACCAGUCUUAUUUAGUAUGGCAAUUCUUAUGUCCACAAAGAAGUCACCUAGUGGAUAUGUGCUUUCUGCAUCCACAAGGUUAUUUUACUUUGUGCUCCCUUCCACUGCACCUUGAAAUAUCUACAGAAAAAAUCAGCACUACGUGUAUGACUAGAUUUAAAAAAUAAAAUAGCCCACCAAACCUCUCUCCCUUUGCUCCUCAUUUUCAGAAAAAAACUGUGAAAUUUCUCUCAUUUCACUGUGAGUGGUCUGUGAAAUUGGGCAUCACUCUCUUUAGUUUACUGAAGGCCCCAGUUGUAAGAUCAGUCUCAGGAACCAUAAGCUUUGCCUGACAUGGAAAUUUUGUUUGGGUUUCUGUGUGUGUGCAGAAUGCAGAAGCUUUUUUAUGUUGAAGGUUUUCUCUGAAGCAGAAAGCCAACUGACCUUUCAAUGUAAUUCUUGUACAUAAAUGGUCUAAACACGUACAUACUAAUUUUUCAUAAAGGUGUGUGUGUUUAAAAACUCAUGAUCUUAACUACAAAUGUUCGCAUUUGUUCCUACCUAGCACUUAACUAUUAUUAGAAGACAGAAUAAUAUUAAGCGUAAUCAUACACGUGUGACUACAGGACUAAUUAGCGCUUUUCCUUCAGCAAUCUUAAAAUAUUUAGGCACAAAGGAGGUAUUACUUAAGACCAUUUUGCAUCUGUUAAUGGGAUCUUAGAGAGUCUGACCAAUGGCUGAUCCUGCAGGGAACUGCAAACGGUGUGUUGGUGACAGUUAUUUUAGGGUACUGACUAACCUAUAGUGAAGGAAAACUUCUUCGGUUGAGUGUUCUAAUAUUCCUGUUGCACCAGUUUACUUGCAAAAGUCUAGUCUAAUCUGACCCACAUCACACAGAGUGACUGUAUAAGAUGGGAAAAACAGCCUCCACCACCUGAACCUGUCUCCUGUUCUGAUCUCUGCUUCUCCUUCAGUGAAAUGUGAAAACCGGAGCCCUGGCUGCGGCUUCCUCUUCAUUCAUAUGCUAAGUAAGAUUUCUGUGUCAGUCACACAUUCGGAUUUAGUGACUAAAUUGAAAACUGAUGCAUUUAUUCAGUACAACUGGUUUCAUGUGAGUUUCUGGUAAUUGCAUUUCACACAAAUAAUGCUAAGUUUUCUGUGACCAAGUACUGCUCUGAAGGAUUCAGCUGUGUUUUCCUAUUUUGUCCAGAUUUUUAUUCUUGUUUAGUCAAGCCUUGCCGUCAAGACUAAAUCUGCUGGAGAUAGAUAUUCUCUGUAGCAUAUAUUUAUUACUAAAAUAAUUCACGGGGCAGCGGGGUUAGGAAGUGUAAUAUAAUCUGCACCAUUGUUUUAGGAGAUUUCAGAGGGAUUAUUUUGCCUUUCUGUUUGUAUAUAGAUAUAUAAUUUUAAAAAUAUUAUGAAAAUGAAGGGAAAACUUUGAUUUACUGUAGAGAAGGAUUCAGGAGUGUCAGCUCUAGGUGUAAAAGCUUGCUUAGAGCAGUUAUAGGUGACUGGAAAGCCUUUGAAACCCUGAGGUCUGUAAUGUAUGCUGUAGAGAUGGUGCUUUUUGAUAUAAUACCAGCAGAAAUGAGAUUUAGUGGUAUUUUUAAAAAGAAUAGUCAAUACUGAGUUAUCUAAAAGUGAUCCCUGAAACAGUGCUUGUGAAUCCCCACAGAAACUGUGUUUCACUAGCUUUAAAAUAUGCCUGUUUUUAAACUCUAAUUGCUCAAAACAAGUGCAGACUAUUAAAAACUGUUGUUUUAAAAUGUGUCCCUAGAGCUGUUUAUCUAAAUAGCAGGAAAGUAUUUAUGGUAUUUAGGCAAGAAUAAUCUACUAUAUUGCUUUGGAUAACCCUUGCUGAAUGUUAUUUUGGGGAUAUUUUAAUCCUCCUAAAAAUUAUUUAUCCCUUUGUGAUAUAUGUCACCACCACAACUGUAGUCUUUUAAAGCUAACCUUAAGUUAUCUGUUAGAUAUCUGUUAGUGUCUAACAGAUACAUUAGGUAUCUAUUUAUUUCAGAAGUUUUUCCUUUCUUUUAAAGGAAGGAAUAGUAGUUCAGUGUUACUGGCAAGCAGAUCAGCUGUUUUAACAUGCUACUUUUCUUUAAAAUGAGUUAAGGUAGCAUAUCAGACUUGAAAUUUUCAAAUACUCAAAGGUGUUGAGUAAGAACAUACCAGCCUUCUCAGAAGGAGAGAGGGCAGAAGGCAUGACCUGUGAGUGGACUACAGAUUUGGGCAAACUACAGAAAUACGUGAUAAGGGUAACUACAAAUUAGUAAUUAUUCAGGAAAUGCUAUUAAAAUGAGGAGGCUGUCUCAAUCCGGAAUGGUUUUGAAUUAUAUUUGUGGGUUUAUGGUGGCCGAUGUGGGAACUGUAGGAAGUAAAUAUCGCAUAAUGAGGAAAUAUAUGAGGUUCUAUCCCUCAGCUGGUUGAAAGUAUUUUGAACUAAGGGUAGUAGGGAAUGGUGUGAGAAGGGAUACACUACAAAUGUUGCAGCCUUUGGGGAUUGUUCUGAUUUUUUUGCUGCAUUCCUGUUUUUUUGUAAAUAACAUCCUGGAGUAGUUGGGCUUUUUAUGCAUCUGUCCCAGUCCCUCAAGAAACACUGGCAACUUCUGUUUUUACUUAAUCCAUGUUGUAGUAGCAGUAUGUUUCUCAUUUAUUUAUUUAUUUAUUUAUUUAUUUAUUUAUUUAUUUAUUUAUUUCCCCCCCCAGUAUGGAAGGUAGUAAGUAAUAAGUAAGUUGAGAUGCCUUGAACAAAAUAUGUAAUAUCUAAGCCUUUAGUGCCUGGUGAUGGAAAAACAAAGAAAUUACGUGUGUCAGAUAUCUCAGAAUGUGUAAAGACACAAAGGCUUGGCAAUCUGAUAUUGUCUUGUUUUCUUGCUAUGCUAGUGAAUAAAUUUUAAAUCGUCACACCUUUCAUAGAUGGCUUAACACCCUGCCUUACUCAGUCUUUGAAAGGCCUGGUAAAUAGUUUCUUUUACAAAGUAUGGAGCAGUUUUAACAAGAUUUUUGGAAUUAUUAAUAGGGUGUUUUGAUUUUCUUUUAACUAUAUCUAGGAGAGAACUAGAAACUGAGACAGAAAAUAUUUGAGAAAAGGCAAAAUGAAAGUGAAGAGAACUUAUACCAAGAAGUUGGUACAGACAUUGAAGUGUAAGUGAUCAGUUAUGGGCCAGCUGUUGCAGCAGCAAAGAUUUUGGUCCUGCAGUUGCUCUUUUUGGUAGCUUCUGAGACCAUGUCAGAUAAGAGUGAUCUUUCUUCAGAAAUGAGAUCAUUCUUGCUAGUGUUGUGCUGCAACGCUGCAUGAAGGCUGUUUGACAAGGGGGCAGUUUCCUGAGAGAUGCAGAUCUGUACGACACAAUUUCUUUUUGUUGUGACAGAGUUGGCCUGUUCACAGUUCUGGCAUAGCAUCAGAAAUGCUCAGUCUGUUUGUAGUAAAUUUUUUCCCUGUCUCACUGAUCAGGUCUUUAGGUCUUUUUUCUCUUUGCUUACCUGUCAGGGUAGUCCUGUGAAUGGUGUGAUUUUAUACACCAAACUGUGAGCGGUUUCCCUUUACCUUGUAGUGGGGACAAAGGAUUCAGUGUAGGGGUAAGUCUUUGUGUGCAAGUGAUCUCCACUAUGUUCCUACAGACCUAGUCCAUGCUGUGGAGGAUUGUAUGUGUGUUGAAUUUGCAGAAUGUUUCUGAGGAGCCUGAUGUGGUAAUUUGUGCUGGAGUUAUUGAAAAAAAUAGGAGAUCUUGUCAUUAGUCAUCUUCCUGCUGAAUGGCAUUCCCCUUGCCUCUUUUGGGAAGCCUUCUGUUUGUAGGUUUUAUAUUAAUGGGACAUUCAGAUUGAUUCAGUCUCAGGCUUCACAAAUUGUGGAGCCUUGUUCAGUGAAUUUCAGUCAGGGCAAAUGAACAAUUAAUUUGCCCCAAAUCUGUCAUCCUUAGAUAAGAGAUAGAGAGAUCCAUGUGUCCAUUGGGUUAUUCAACACGGUCUCUUUAUUUUAUGCAGUCUUGAUUGUUUCUGAAAUGUUGGAGCAAUAGCGUGAUGAAAAAUAUACUUGAGGUUGGUUGGAUUUCAGGUGGUGUCAGGGGAGGUGCCCAAUCUGCAUAUUUUUGCUUGUGAUGUUUUUAUUUCUUAAGUUUCCUUUUGUGUUGCAACAUAAAGAUCUAAGGCUGUUUAUGCCAUUCUUCUGGCAUAAACUGAGUUGCAUUUUGGCUUUCAGGUUCUACUGUUGGCUUCUCAGCUCCAUGUUUUAACUGUUGCUUCACCUCCAACUCAUCAUGCGGGUCAGAAUGACAUUGCCUCUCAGCCUGGAAAGGCAGUCAUGUAGGAAGACCUGCAAGGCGUCUGGUCAUGCCAAUUGGUCUUCCUUGUCUCCACCAGUCCCAUGUUUUGAUCACCUUGCUCUGAGAAGAAUACGAGUAGAUUUGUACUGUGUUAGGCAAAAAAAGCAGAAUUGUCUUCAGUUUGUAAAUUAAUGAAGCAAGUAUAUGCAAGACUGUGACCUUCCUCUAGGCUUAAUAUUUACAGGCCAUUAUCUCCGAGUACACUGACUAUUUAAAAUAAAGCUCCAGUGCUCCUUUGCAGUGCACACAAAUCUUGGAGAUAGCACCUUUAAGGAUCAGUGACAAAACCAUUUUAAAACCAGAAUCUUCUGAAAGGUGAUGUUUUUGGAAGGAGCCACUGUGUAGAGCGCUGAAAUGCUUUUGAAGAUUGUGUCCUUGAGUGAGUAGGUAAGUUGGGAUCCACAUUCCAGAGAUAAAGAUGACAGUUAAGGAAAGUAUAUAUCUGCAGCUAUUUCUGAAAAUCUUGUCUACCAUUGCUUGUUAACUGUAAUUGCACCUAUGUUUAAGAUCUACAUUUUUUUAAAAAAGCCCAAAUGACAAAUUAGAAUGAAAGCAAAUAAUCCUUUGGGGUUUAGUUAACCUACUUCUAAUUGUUGGUUUGUUGCCACCACAAGGGAUGUGGCUUUCCAAGAAGGCAAGUCUCGCAUGGAUGCUAGGAAAUGUAAAAAGGUCUUUCAACUGCAGUCUGUCUCUUUUGUUUAGCGACCUCUUUUAAGGAUUUUGGACUCUGAAACUAAGAGACUGUAGUAUAGGGACACUCAAAAUCAUGGAGCACACAAUUUUAAGGCAAUUUCUUUGCUUUUAAAAGGCCUAUUUUCGUUAAAUAUAACAUCUCUUUGUUCCAAAAGGAAUAUGUACCAGUGAAUGGUAUUAUCACUAUGUUUUUCAAAGUUUUUCAUUUGUUCUAUGUAUCUCUGCUUAACUUUUGCUUAUAUAUGUAUGUGGGUUUUGCAUCUAUGCAUCCUUCUUUCCCUGUGCUUGUGUCAGUGUUUAUAAAUGGAGAUAUACAUAGUUUGAAGCUGGAAUAAUAUUUUAAGAGUUUUUGUUGUUUCUGAGUGUUGCUCGUGGUUGUUACUAUGUAUGUGAAUUCAGGCUAGCUACCUGACAGUUCUCAAUGCUACUGCAACCCAUACCAACAAUCAAGAAAACAAUGAAAGGGUUCAAUCUUUUGUUAUUUUUUUUUUCAGUGAAGGAGCCAUUUGUUCUAGAGAUCAUUUCCUUCACUAUGUGCUAUAACCUUUGUCCUUUUCUUCACUUGAUUUUUAAAAUGGCAAAGGGGUUUGGAGGGUUCAGUAGUUAGUAAUAGAUGUGCAUUCUAUUGUUGACAAUGUCUUUUUAAUUUAUUUUUAUUUUAUUAUUGGUGUGUACGGUGUUAAUGAAUUGCAAUUGAAAAAUCUGAGCAUGGAGAAGAGGGGAGGCACUCUUGACAUAAGUAAUGUUCCUAAACUUGUCUGUACUUAACAACAUUUAUAAAAAGAACUGUGGAGGGCAACUACUGAUUAAAGGGGCUUGUGAACUAACGCUGUUGAUAUCAGUAGCAAAACUCCUCAGUAAAUGCAAAACCAAGUUCGACAUAGAAGAUAUGCCCAUGUUUUGGACAUUGGAUGACAUAAUAAGGUAAUAUUCUGUUUGGCAUGUGUGUCAGAGUGACUGUGAUGGUCUUAAACUAAAUAUUAAAAACCAAAAUGCUGGCAGUCAGUGUUUAAGAAAUGCUCUUUUCUGUAAGUCGUGAAGCCCUGUUCAGAGAUGGCGCUACAUCUGGUUCCCAAACAAUCUGUCCUGUUUUGCCAUUGCCUUGAAAGUUGCUUUAUGGAGUUUUGUGACCAGGGCAUUACUGAGAGAAGUGUAGUAGAAAGUGGGAACGUCUUUGUGUCCUGCUGUCUGUUGAAGUUGUUCUGAUCAGGUAAAACAGGUAAGAGCUUUAGGGUUCUGUUCUUCACUUGUGAAUUCCCUUCCUCAUCACAAAUUGUUUCAGUACUGAAGACCUCUUUGAAAAAUACAGGCUGAAGAAUUGGGAAUUAUAGUGGAAAUUAAUAUCUGAUGGAAGAGAGAUCCAGUCCAGAAUCGUAAUUUGCCAGGAAAGCAUCCCUUGAAUAAUAACUCACACACAAAGACAGGUUCAGUCUUUAAAUUUUAGUGAUUCCUGUCAUAGCUAAACCUGUGAGAUAAGGUUAAAUUCCAGAAGCCUGAUCCAGAUCUUAUUAAAUUAAGUAGAGGGACUGGAGAUCCAAAAUGGUUUGAUUUGUAUUAAACCUCUCCCACGAUGAGAUGACAUGAGAUGAAUAGUAUGGAUUGUUCAGCAGGAGAACUUGGAUUUGGAGUUGUGGACAGCUGACAGUAAAGAAAACUCUAACAGAAUUGUGGAUUUUGUAAUGGUGAAAUGUCUUUUUCUCCAUGUAAAUGUGUUCUUUAAAAAUUUCACAUUGCUAUUCCCAGUUCUGUCCUGCACCUUUACAUUAUUAUGUAGUAAUGGCAUUAACCACAACAGAGUCCCGGUGAAGGUGAGUCCAAAGGUAUGGGCGUGAGGAAUGUGAGUAAUGGUUUAUCACACAGGUUUACUAAAGCAAAUGAAUAACCUUGUUCUUCUGUGAAUCUCCCCUUCUCUCCUCUUUCUCCAGAUAACUUAAACUUUACAUAAAUAGCUGGAAUACUGUGCAGGGCCCGAUAAGUGGAUUUCUGCAUCCAUGCUGAGCCUCCCUUGUAUCAUAUAUCCAUUCCAUUAUCUUGUGUGAAAUGCUUAUUGCAAUUUCUUCCAUUUAGUCUCCUAUAUACAUUAUCUGUAAUGCAUAAUGGAGUGUGUGUAUGAAUGAAGGACAAUAUCCCAUAAAGCAAGAAAAUUACUUGUAAGUUGUAAGCAGUGGAGCCUUAAUGGUAUGAUCUCAUUAUGUUAGGAAAAAAAUUUCCUUUAUACCAUACAGCUUGAUUUAAUUGUCUCUUUCUUUUUUAAUCUUCAACAUAUUUAAUCAAGCUAUGCUGUGAAAGAAUAAAUAAUGAUGUUGAAGUAAGUUACAGGGUCUAUACCAUGAAUUCUUUUUGUAAAUCUGUCUAUUUAAAGGAAUGUUAUUAGCUCCCAGUGUUUGUUACAUACCAAGUGUCAAAUUAGGAAUUUUGAAGUAAUAUUAUAAUAUUAGAUGUAAGUACUGUUUUUCCUUUUCAAGAGCUGUGUUCUAAACUUUGAGAUAUGGAGUGUAUGUGUAUGUUCAUUUUUGAGUUCUCCAGUUUGUAUAGAUAUUUUGAAGUUCUGAGGUUAUUCAGCAGCAUUAUUUGUAAGAGGGAAGAGGGAUUAACAUAAGGUCUUAGCAGUUAUCGGUGUUCAGUUGCAUUUGUGUAGUCUUCAGUGCCCUUAUUUUCAAUCAAAUUGUAAUCAGCAAAUAGGUGUUAAGAGAAGCUGCCUUAGGUUAUCCAGACAACACUUUGUCAUUGGAGGAUUGUUAUGUGUUGUACACUGAGACACUUCUUUUGGUUAUUUAAACAUUUUUGCCUACACUUGUUUUUAAGAAUUUUGAAUACUGGACCUUUGUUUUUUUCAUUUGGAGACUGUUUUGCAGUUUCAGUUUCUUUGCUGGAUUAUACAGUUGUCUGCAUUUUUUUUUUUUUUUUCCUCUUAACUGUCAUUCAUACUGCAGUAAAUCAUUCCAUCACAGGGGCAUAUGUUUUUCUAUAUUUCUAUUUUUUUAAUAAUUUCUUUCUUUAUUCACUGUUAAGCAAGCUCUGAGUAUCCAGUCAUUUGUUUGUUUGUUUAGUUUUAAGUAUCCAAAGAUAGUCCUUCCAAGCAGAUAUUAUUUUUCCAUAAUCAAUACCCUUGAAGUUGUCCUAGUAUCUCUUUUGGGAAUGGAGUGACUGGAACCAGAUGAGAGACUCAAGAUAGUCCAACACAGGCUCAAGUGAACUGUGUCACCACAGUCUCAUUGGGGGACUUGCAGCCCUAGGACAUGGCUGUGUUGGUAUCACUGGGGCCAUGGCUGUGCCUCCUCCCAUCAGGACCUGGCUCUGUGGCCUGGGGGAGCGGCCAGCCAGGGACAGCAGAUGUUGGCACCAGCUGCAGAAGCGGCUCAGCAAGGGCUGGAGGCCAUGCAGAGAGUGCCCUGUGCUUCUGGCCCGGGUGGCUGCUGGCCUGUGCUCACUGGUGAUGCGCUGAAAACUUAAUAUCAGUCGCUCAAUCCUGUCUGGUUUUACCCUCCCUGUGUUAUAGCCCUUAUUCCAGGCUCCUCCCUUCCCUUUGUGGUAGGUGUUCACAAUAAACACCCUGCCCACACACCCCCAUGUUCCUCAAACUGCCCAGAGGGUUACAAACCUUUGCUGCACUUGUGCUACUUGUGUUUAUCUUCAGCCUUUCCUCUGUCCUGCUUACUGUCUUCUGUUAGACUUUGGGAGAUAUCCCAGCUAUGUUUCUAAACUUGCAGAGUGCCUAGCACUGUAAGCAGGCACUCUAACCAUUUUUUGGUUAAUGUUUAGAAAUUGCAAGAAUAAAUACAGUUGUUACUAGUAGUACCAUUAGAGACCUGUGUCUGGUUUGUGGUUGGCUGUCUCCCAUAGGUUUAGCAAUGUGGCACAUAAAUGUCUCUCUUAGCUCAGUAUCUGAGUUUCAGAUAAUCUAUUCAAUAGCUAUCUGCUUUUCCUUCUUCCUUUCCUCCUUCUAAAUUAUUUCUCAUUUGACAGUUCUUGGUGCAUUGUUUCACCUUGAAAGCCCAUUGUUUAUGGGUAUCAAUGAACAAAAGCCUUCAGUGGAUUUUUGCCCGAAACCCCUUAGUUUUGAUUUUGUAAUUGUGACCAAAUUUCUGUCAAAUCUGUCCUUAAAAGUAAACAAACUAACAAAAAUAAUUGUUUUAUAAUGUCAUAUGUUAUUAAACAGCUGUCAGGUACUGCUUCAUAUACAGUAACAUUUCUGUUGUGAGUGACAAUCAAAAUGCCUAUUGCAUAUGCAGCACUGAAUUUUAAAGACCCUUUAGGCACUUGAUGAAGCACUAUUUUUUAUUUUUACCGGAAUGUGCCUUCAGCUAUGCCAAGAAGCACUGAAGUGUAUUGUAUUUUGAAUCAUUGCAAGGUUGAGUUUUACAGUGUUUCUUUCUAAGGCUUCUUUACUUCUUAAAAUAGCUAUAGUACAUUUAAUGUUUCUAAGAAGUAUUAUCACCUUAUUGAAUGUGGAACAUAAGCUCCUAGAGACAGGGGAAUUAUCAGUUUUUUAGUAAAACGCUAAGCACAUUUAUGGCACUGUAGGUCUAACGCACUUGUAUACAUGAAAGUUAAGUUUUGUGGUGUGUAUUUUCAGUCAUCUUCCCCAUGCCCCCUACUUUGAUACAUGUAACUUCUCCUAAAAUUAGUCCUGAAUUAUGUGCUCUUUGUUGGCUGUGGGAGGACUUUGUUAUGCCUAGAGCCCCAUUCACGUUGCUGGUUUUCUGUGUGCUUCUAAGACAACAGCAAGAAAUGCACAGUGGGGCUGGCCUUCGGUGAAAUUCUUUUAUGCCCACAGUUCUUUGCAUGAUAUGUUUGCUCACUAAAAUGUGCAGAUAUAAUUCUGUAGUACUGCAGUAACUGUUGAUUGGGAUUGAAUAUUUUCACCUCUCUGUAUACUUCUUUUGCAUAUAAAAAGGUGUUUGUCCAUGCUGUCGUUGCUUAUUUUAAAACAUUUGAGAUGGUAAUUGCAAGGAAGGUGCUACCUUUGCAUGUCUUCCUGGGAUGGAUUCUGGCAUCCUUGGGGUCUGUGGUGCUUAAGCAUGAAUUCUUCAGGAUUUUGUGCAUAAUGAAUAUUGAACAUGGAUAAAAGUUGCAGGACUUCAUUCUAGGAGGUGUUUUGGGAACUUUUUUUUUUUUUUUGAGCAUACCAUAACAUUCUCCAGCUUUGACUCUCCUGAUAUUCUAAAUUAAUGUAACUGCAAUACUGUGUCCAUUGACACUCUCUCACAUCUUAGUGCCUGCAGAAAUGUUUGAGUGACUGCCUGAGUUAAAAUCAAAAUCCUAGUGUAUUUUUAAGUAUUGAAACACAGAGAUUCAAGGAAGUGGAUGUGGCAUAGUUUGGAAGAAGAUUAGGAGUUUUGAGGUUAAGCCUGCCAGCAUCUAUGAAAUGGAAUUAGUGCUGCAUGCCUGGAGUGAGAAAUAUGACUCUCCUUGCUCAAGUCACCUUCUUAGCUCCUGUUUUGUGUCCUGCUGUUUUGUGUCCCCUUGCGUUUGUGGUAUUGUGACACAGACCAAAGAGUGGUGGUGAAUGGAAUCAAGUGCAGCUGGAGGCCAGUCACAAGUGGUGUUCCCCAGGGCUUAGUAUUGAGGCCAGUUCUGUUUAAUCUCUUUAUCAAUGAUCUGGACAAGGGGAUUGAGUGCACUUUCAGCAAGUUUGCAGACAACACCAAGUUGGGUGGGAGUGUUGAUCUGCUGGAGGGUAGGAAGGCCACACAGAGGGAUCUGGAACAGCUGAAUCAAUGGGCCAAGGCUGAUUGUACGAGGUUGAACAAGGCCAAGUGCCAGGUCCUGCACUUGGGUCACAACAACUCCAGGCAGCACUACAGGCUCAGGGAAGAGUGGCUGGAAAGCUGCCUGGUGGAAAAGGACCUGGGGGUGUUGAUUGACAGCCGGCUGAACAUGAGCCAGCAGUGCGGCCAGGUGGCCAAAAAGGCCAACAGUAUCCUGGCUUGUAUCAGGAACAGUGUGGCCACCAGGACUAGGGAAGUAAUUGUUUCCUUGUACUUACCACUGGUGAAGCUGCACCUCGAAUACUGUUUUCAGUUUUGGGCCCCUCACUACAGGAAAGACAUUGAGAUGCUGGAGUGAUUUCAGAGAAGUCCAGUGAAGCUAGUGAAAGGUCUGGAGUACAAGUCUUAUGAGGAGUGGCUGAGGGAACUGGGGUUGUUUAGUCUGGAGAAAAAGAGGCUGAGGGGAGAUGUUGUCACUCUUUACAACUCCCCCAAAUGAGGUUGUAGCAAGGUGGGGCGCUCUUCUCCCAAGUAGCAAGUUACAGGACAAGAGGAAAUUACCUCAAAUUGCACCAGUGGAUGUUUAGACUGGAUAUUAGAAAAAAUUCUUCGUGGAAGGGUUUGUCAGGCAUUGGAACAGGCUGCCCAGGGAAGUUUUUGAGUCCCUGUCCCUGGAGGUGUUUAAAAGAUGUGUGGAUGAGGUUCUUAGGAACAUGGUUUAGAGAUAGACUUGACAGUGUUUCUAGACAUAUUCCUUUAUGCAUCAUCCCUUCUUUUUUCAUGCACAAAUAGAAGGGCAGUGGCAGGGGAGCUGAAACUGUUACUGGAAGUAAAAUCUUUCAUGUUGACUAGACUUUGCCGUAAGAUUUGUUCAAAUAAUUAGGUUGCUAACAGUGAUUUUUAAAAAUUGUGAUGUGGCUGCCUGCUUUUCUGAAUACUUGUUUGGUAAGUGAAAGGGGGAAGAGAUGGAUGUUUUUGUUCUUCACUGUGUCUGUGUCACUUCUGGCCAGGAGUGUCCUCUUAAUUUCUUUCCCUGCCCACAUGGGCUGUCAGACUCUCUUGACUCCAAUAUAUUACCCCCCGUUAUGUGCACUUUUACUGCACAUAUCUGCACUUCCACUGCAGUUAUUCUCCCACCCGGUUGGGGUUUGGGGUUUACCAACACAGAGAAAGCAGUACUCCAGCCAGUGACUGGUGUCAUUUGAAGCUCCCUUAAGAGGCAGAAGGUGUCCUUUUACUCUGCAGUGAUGAUCGCCUCCCCACUGUAACUUGGAAGACAACCUUAGGAUGCUAGGGAGGUGUUUGACAAAUCACUGUAACUACUCUCCUUUAUGGAGAGAAUCACAAGUUCUUCUGUGCAUCCAACUCUAGUUCGAGAGACUUCAUCAACUGAGAGCUGCGCAAAGUGCGAAGUUUAUUAGGAGGUAAUAAUGUUACUUUUGUGUAAAAAGAAUAAAAAUAAACAUCAUUACAAAAACUGAGGACAGCUAAAUUAUAAAAUGUAGCCUGUUUGGCAGCUUACAAACUGUGAGAAGUUUCUGAUGUGGGAAGUAGAGACUGUCUAGUGAUAUGUCGUUUCAUGGGAACAUGAAGGUUAGGAAGUAGUGAUUGUUGUGCUCAGUCGGUGGAGAUGUAAUGAUGCACCCUUAGAUGUAUCCUUAUAUUUGACUAGACGUGGGCUUUUAUACUUUGCUGUUUUUGAGGUAGAGCAAUAUAGUCUCUCUUACCAUUAAAAAUUAGUUGAAAAUGGAUUAAAAAAUGUGUUUUAAGAUGCAUCCCAUACAGCACUAUGAGUUUUAUCUGAAGAGCUUGUCCAAGACUCUGGGUUCUCACUCUGUUUCAAUAUUGUGCUGUGAUGAGUUUAAAAACCUCCACAAUGUGACUCCAGCUGAGCUAUUUAACAAGAAGAACCAGAGAAGGCUCCUCUUAUUUUUAUUCCAAAACAGAAACCUUUGGUCAGACUGACCUGCUAUUAACAGCACCUUUUAAAAAAGAAGGGGAAAACUCCCCCAAAGGUAACUGGGGAUUUUGACAUCACCUUCAACAAGAAGCAAAAGCUUUUUUGGAUUGGGGAGCUGGGAGAAAAUGUUUCCCUUCUGGUCCCAGUUAUUUUCUGGGUCUGCUCUGUUAUAUGGGCAUCAACUUUACAUGGACUUUUUUUAGAAGCUCAUUUUUAUUGCAUUUGAGUGUCUCUUUUGUGUAGAUAAGUGCAAAAGUAUGUGUAAGUAUUUAAAUGCACACACAUACACAAAAUGCAGGUAUAUAACUAAACAUGUUCGCCCAACAUAAAAAGCUGAAAAAAUCUUAAGAUUUGGGAACUGGGGAACUGUUUGAUUAUUUGUUAGUGUGGAAAGAGAGUUUGGAGCUCUUGAAAAGGAAGAGCUACUUGUAGUUGCAUUUAACUGAACUGCAAACAAUAGGAAUAGGUAACUGUAACACCUUGUUAUUUUUCUACUUUAUGGAAGUCUUUUUCUGUUUUGUUUGUAAGUGUUUUUAGUGAAAUACUGUUUUGAGGCAUGUUGUGACUUAGGAACAGUAUCCAAAAUUUAAGCACAAACCAGGAGUCAUUUUCUAUAUUUACAGACCCUCAGCUUAUUUCUUAAAUAACAUGACAGUAAUAAAAAUGUGCUGAUUUGUCCACAUAAAAUUUAGCAAGCAACACACUUAAGAUUAAAUCUGUGUACAGUAGAGAGAGAUUUCAAAGCUGCUGAGUAAUUAAAGUUUCUCUUCAUGAGUUUGGAGUACCUUCUUAAUUGGAAAUAGAAAUGACACUUUUAUGGUGGUAAUAUGUGGGGAAGGACCGUUCCGUCUUACAAUUGAGUACUCUAAGAAAGAGGCAAAUGAUACCUUUUUUUGUCCAUUGAGAGUGUUAUAGUAACUAUGGCAAAAAUAUUACUUCUGUUGAGAAAAGUAGAGAAUUAAUAACAGUGUGUUCAGGAGCACAGUAGUGUAGACACUGUGAGUAGACACUCAUAAAGUGGUGGAUUUUGGGAGGAAACAAAAUCAUCAUCUGUUGUUGUUAUUGGGGAGAUGAGAAUUGUGAGAGUGGGACUAAUAGCCUCUGCUAGCUUACUCCUUGGAGAGCAGAGAUCCUGAAUGAGAUGUGAAUGUGCCCAGUACAGAUCUAGGAGAUCCUCACAGACACACAGCACUUUGUGACUUUCUCUAGACUUCUUUUGUUAAUAAAUUAUAUGUCACUUCUACUUUUAGGUAAUAGAAACAAGGUUGUCUUCCUGGGUACACUAGUGAAUCCUCUGGACUUUGGAAUCUUGCCCUAAAUCAAAGAAACCAGUGGGUUUUGUUCUUUAAAUACCAUUAUCAAAGGUUCAGGUCCUAGUUCUGUCAUGUGAAACUAAUUCAUAGGCUUGUGUUUCGUGAGGAGUUGUGCCCAAAUGUCAGGAUCUUGCUGAGAAAGUGGGACUAUCCCAUUGUUGUUUUCACAAUGGAAGGGAACUGUGGUGUCAAAUGUGUGCUCUAAUACCUGUAAUGCAAGUUCAUACCCUACUCUCUGUUUUUACAAGCAUGUGUUAUAUCUACUGUCAGCACUAGGUUUAAAGCCUGACACUGAAUUACAGAAGAAAUUUAAUGCAGUGUAUUAGACACUCAUAUGACCAGCUCUAGUCUCAAAAAAAGGUUGUUCCCUUGACAUGGUAAGCUUCAAAAAUUGAUUCAGGUGCACUGAGAAUUGAUUCGAGAAGUCUCUCUGGCAUUAUCGUACAGGACUGUAAAGAAAGCUCAAUAAAAGUAUGUUAUAAAAGCAAUCUGGAAUAAUAGGCAGUAGCUAAGAUCAAGGAAAUUGGAAUAGGUGAACAUUCGAGGGGCACUAUCACUUUGAAUUUGCGUUUUAACUGAUUAAGAAAACUAUGUGAUAGUAAAGGACAGUUUAACAGUAGAACUUUUCUUUUUUAAGUAUUAGAUUUUUUUUAUCUUUUAUGCCAGGUCUUUUAGAAAGAUGUAAGUUACAAUACCAAGAUAAUUCUCAGGCCUAUUCUUUCUUCUUUGUUUUUCUUCAUUAUGUCUUUCUUGCUGAAAUGUCUUCUCAGUUAUUUUUUAUUAAAUGGUAUACAUUACCAAAAAAAAAAAAUUGUGUUAGUUUGCUGCACAGAAAAAAAUGGCUAAAUAUGCCAAACAAAUUAACUCAAGAAUGAAAGAGAAGACAAUAAGACAGAUUUUAAAAUCACAAACAAAAUAAUAUAUCUUGUCUACUUUCUCCUGGUCAAUAAUCUUAGUAAUUACAGGAACAGGUUUUUAACUUUCUUGGGAUAAUGUGAUUUUCAGAUAGAUGCAGUUCUUUUAAAAUGUCUUGGCCUACUUGGAGGUCAGUAGAAGUUAAAUCUGGAGGAUAUUAUAGAUAAGCACUUGAGACAGAUCCUGGGCUAGAAUACUAAACUUUAGCUUGGAAAAACACUGUCAGAAAUCUACCACCAAAUAACAGAGAAAACCCUUCUUCAGGUAAAUCAAAAUUUGUGUAGUACAGGGCAAUGAGCAAAUUACUGCUAGUGUGGCAAAUCAGAAUAACUGAAAACUACUGUGGCAAACUUUAGGUUUUAUUCCAUGUAUAUCCUUAACCUGUGAACCUGACUUGUUUGCAUGUCUUAUGGGAAUGAUUGGAGACAGCAGGAUUUUAAAACUAGAUGGAGGUUAUAUUACAAAUUUCCAACACCAGGGAAUUGCAUUUCCCAAGGCACUUGUUGAAGCAGGAAGAGUGAUGCUGUGCACUCCCUCUUCUUACAAAGGAGACCAGCGAGACCUAAACAGGUAGUAAUUUCUGUGUAGCAUGGAUUGUUUCUGUAGGAAUCAAAUAGAUUAGAGGGACAUAAAUAGACGCAGGUCACUUUAGUCUACUGAUUCCAGCAUGGACAAAAAUGCAUAUGACCCUUUGGAGGCAUGAAGUUAACUAAGACUUAGAAUAAUGGGUAGAAGCAUUGGCCUGUCAAGUCCAGUAUAUUGAUUAAGAGUUCUUAUUGUUAUCUCUUUAUCCUAUGGAUACCUCAUUCAGUUUUGUCCCUUCCUUAGACAGCUUUUUUGGUUUUUAGUUCUCUCAUGGGAUUGUUUUAUGAAGUGAUUUUCUCCACUGAGCAUGCUAGCACACUUGUUAGGAUUUGAUAUAUGUAAGCCACGUAUUUUAUUAUGGUGGAUGUGUUCACAUAGGAUUCUUAUUGAUUUUCUUGUGUUCUAGUCAAUGAUGAAGUGAAGCGAUAAUGAAGCAUGUACGUGCCUGGUUUGUUUUCUUUACCUCUGCUGUGACUUGGACAUGCCAUUGUAAUUUUUUUUAGAUAUGCCAAGUGCAGUGGAGAAGUAAUCUUACUCUCAAGUAAAGCAAUGUAGGAUUACAGGAAUAACUGCUGUUAGCUGCUGUAUUUGUCUUUUGUAGCUAACUCCUGUGUGCCGAGAAUCCUCUUCAGUUUUUCCUUUUAUGUCAUGCAAAGGUGGCUUUAGAUCUUUGUUGACAAAGGGCUUAUUCCUGUUUCCAGUGAAGCCAGUGCUAAAAUUCACAUUGGUCUAGGGGAAGGUUAGAGACAACUGUGUAGAAGAAAUGCCAUCAGAUUAUGAAACAAUGUCAGAACACAUUAGUUUUUACAUGGGGGACAAAGUAUUGCUUAUCUACCUGCUGAUAUUUCUGAAGGAUUCUUGUCAUUAUGGCAUUAAGAUGAUAGCAUCCAGAGAAUAUGUUAGAAACUUGUACUACCCAACCUGUUGAUGAAAAGUGUCUUUUAUCCACACUGCAAAAAUUAGAAUACGUGCAACGUAAUUGUACAGAUGUACACUGUGUAUGCCCAGUAAGGCAGAAUUGCCUGUACAAGGCAAUUGCUAUCUGCUGCUUAUCAAAUAAUGUUGUCAUGAAAGUUGGUGAGAAUUUUCAGUCCAGUGAUUUACUCUUCUUCACCUGUUCUCUGAGGAUGAUUAACUUCAGAUUUGUGUAGUAUGUAUGUAUAAAACAAAUGCUCAUUUGUGGAGCACAUUUUCAGCCUCUUAGAUGCAAGAAAGUGCUAACGUGUUCAAAUGACAGGGUUAAAUUCCCUUCAGCAUUUGCUUAAAACUGCGUGGCCAUUAAUCAUUCAUUUCUUGCUUUUCUGAUGUUGUGGAGAUUCCAAAUAAAUUUCCUGUUUUGAUGGAAAGCAUCACUUUAAAGCCUGAUUUAAAAAUAGAAAAUAAAGUUGGAAACAUUCACGUCCCAUUGGUUGAAAGUACAGUCUCACAGAGGAAGGUGAAAUCCCACAGUGUAAAUGUGGAUAUAUAGCAGGCUGGAGGUGUAACACCCUCUGUCACCAAAGGCAGAAUCAUGUGAUGAACUUGUAUUUAUUUGAAUUCUCUAAGAGGAUGCCUUACCUAGUAUAUUAGUGAGCACAUUUCCAUUGAAGUAAUAAUGACACAGCUAAUGACUUUAAAAUAUUUUCAGAGUCUAAAGAAAAAUUUGUCUAAAUCUGGAAAAAGAAAAAUAUAUUUUGACCAAUGGAAACUCAUAAAUUGUCUGGAAAAAACAAAACCCACUAGGACAAUGCAAGGAGAGUGACUGUAUGUUAUUGCCUUCUUGAGGAUUGUGCCAUUAUCCUGAAAUGUUGACAAUGCAGUUCUGCUCCAGGUGAGUCAGUACUAGGUUCAUCAAGCAGCAGAACUUAAGAAAUGUCCUCUUCCACUUGGUCACUGAAGGCCGGGCUUUACACUUCCUGCCUUUCUUGAACUCUGUCUCUCUUUUUUUUUUUUUUCUUUCGCUUUUAUUUCUUUGUUCUGUAUCUGAAACUUAAAAACAAAAAUAAUAAAAAUUAACAAGUCUUUUAUUUCCUGGUGAACAGAGAUUGCGUCUUUCCUCCCAGGGCUUGCUCAGGGUCAGUAACAAUUCUGCAAGAAUGAUUUAUUGACUUCUCUACUCUGACCAGAAUUCACACUGUCACCAAAGGGCCUGUAGUCCCUAGACACCAGCUUGGCCUUCUCAGUCAAUCUGCCAGAGAGAUGGCUUUAGUUACAUAGCAAUUAAAAGACUUAUUUUGUGGUGAGUAACUAAAGGGAAGUGGGAGGGCAGAGAGAGAAAGGUUAACAGACUGAGGCAGAAGUAGUAUAGACGACUAAUUCUGUGCUCAUAUAGAAGUCUCUUCUCCCUGCUGCUAAUUUUCCAGUUUUACUUUGUAUAUGCCUCUUGGUUUAUUGAACCAUGUUUGGGAAACUUGGAGGCUUUAUGAAAAGUGUUAAGAUUACUGGACUAAAAAUGUGACAGAUUUACUUCGUAGCAUCUUAAACCUGGUUUAAUGAGGGAUCAAGGCCUAUGUGAUCGUGAGCAAUUUUGCCAUCCUCGGUUGUCUCCCAUCUUUUUCCCCUUACAGCUGUGGGCCUGUUGGUCAGUUUAAGCCAAGUUUGACAAGAAAGGUAAUGGCCUCCACUGUGCAGAAAGGGGAAGCCCUUAGUGCACUGCUGAGAAAACACCUUCACAGGUACAACCUUAACUAAGCACUAGAGACUGCAAGUAAAAAAAAGCUCUGUUGUGAAAAUUGUAACUUAAAGGUAAGUUGAGCUUUGCACCUCAUUGGAAAACAACUGGCACACAAAACUGUAGGAGACCUCAUGACUUCAUUUUCUUCUGGUCCUACUUGUUUUGUGAUCAGUCAGCUGCUUAACAUCUCUGGUAAAGAACUGUCCCUGUGGAAAUUAGUGCAAUGUCUACGUGAAUAUCAAGGGCAUUUCAUUAAUACAGUUGUUGGAACCAAGCUCAUGCAGAAUCAAAGCAUUAGGCCUCUCCUUGUUUUGCCUUUGUGGUGUUUUGGAGAAUUAAUGUCUUCUCAUGCUGUAGUCUUCUGCACUGUGAUAUGCUGGGGAGGGAACAAUACUUUUUGGAUGGCUGGUUAAAAUUACGUGCUUUUUUCUCUGCUUAUUGCUUUGCUGUCUAGUUGCUUGAUUACUGUUGUAUUGCAUGACGGACUCCAGGCCUUCAGGUCUUACAGAACUGCCAUUCUAGCAGCACUUUGUGAAUUACACUAGGUAAGAGGUGCUGGCAUUAUGAAUUUUACUUUGUUUGGCUGCAGGGGUGGAUUGUAUCGGGGAAUAUCUUAUUCAGAAGACCUGAGUAUAUCCCUUUCUUAUUGAGAGUGCAGCCAGUUUUAAAAAAAGUUUUGAAGGACACUUGCAGAUGUAUUUUUUUUAGCUAUAGCUUCCUUUCCCAACUGACUUCCCAUGGUGAACAACUGGUGUGGAAACUCUGUACUACAGUGGUACUGUGGGAACUGAAAUGUGAGUCAAGCCCUAUUUUGCUAGAUUCAAUAAGUGCAUAAAUGUUUUUAUUCCCAACAGAUAUGAUAAAGAAAAUAAUUAUAAACAUUGUUGGAUAUGUUGAUCACAAAGGGAUUAAAUGACAGCUUAGACUUUCCAAGGAAGUCUGUGACAUAGCUGUGAGCUGAACUCCAGAUUUCUGCAUCUCUCCAUAGUGUUUUAAUGACCAGAUCCUACAAUUAUUUUACUAGGGAAGUGUUAAUCACUCUGGUGUCUGUGUGCCAGACUGGCUUUAGUGUCAUACGUAGACUAGAAAGUAGGUCUUUUUCUUACUAAAUCCUCUCUGUCAAAUAAAAUUUUGGCAGAACUUAAUGCCCAAGUAUAUUUGAGAUUUAUAGCAAAUAAUGAAGUCAGUAUGAGUUUCUCCUGCCUUAGUUUGCCAAUGCAUCUUAGUUUGUUCAUUGCUGGAGCAAAUGGGUCCCAUGUCAGAGUUGAAGGCUGUUCUGCCUGUCUGAGAGAAUUUCAUGUGAGGCAGGCAAAGAUCCCGAGGGCCAGUUUAAGAGAACCAACUUAAUUUAAUGUGCAUACUAAUCUGAAUUUGAAAUAACUCUUAUAAGCUUUGUUGUUGUUGUUUUUUUCCCACAAAGUUCUUAGUGAUAUGUCCAUUUAUUUCACAUUUAUUAAAUCACAGUAAGCACAGUAUAAAAAAAGUUCAUGGCAAAGAGGAAAGUUAGUGGCAUUAUAAAUUAGAAGCCUUGGAUAAAAAUGUUAACCGUUUUUACUUAUUGUCAUUGAACCCAAAUUGAAUUUUUAGUCAACUUACAAUAUUGUCAUUAAAUCCAAUUUGAAUAUUUUGUCACAACAAAUAUUAAAAUAAAAAAAAAGCUUUUGCUGAAGAGGUUGGCAGCCAGUUUUGCAGAUUUUGGGAACCUUCCUGAUAAGAGAUGAGGGCUGCAUCCUGUCGUGAGAGCAUCACUGUAAUUUACCACGUGUAGCAAGGAGACUAUGUUGUCAGACCUGAAAUACCGUCUGGAGUAAGAUCACAUUCAGGAUGUUUCCAAUUUUCUUGAAGCUGCUUAAUAUACAUUAAAGUCCCUUGGGAACUGGAAAUCUCCAAAGCUCUUUUUUUCCCCUCCUGGAUCCAGUGGAAAGGCACCUCCCUGCUCUGGAUGUAUUUAUUGCUCUGAAGCCCCCCAUAUGUGUAUGAUGCAGGAGUUCCAGAGGUAGCAAGAUGUUGAGUCUUGGGAAUCCUGAUCCAGUGGCUGCACCAAAUGCUAUGUGUCUAUAAACAUGAACAUUCAUGUUGGCUUCACCAUGUCCUUCUAUGCCAUGGAGUCUGUCAACGUAUAUUUAACUCUGUGUGUAACUAUAAAGAAAGAAUCGAGAUUCUGGUCUCUGCUUCUAUUCUGGUCCUUUCAAAGACUGUGUCCACAUGGCUAAAAGACUGUCACUCCCCAAAUUGGCACCAAGUUCAGCUAAAUGUUUUGUUUUUCAUUUGAGGCGAAUCUGUCAGAGUUAUAUGUUGGAGCAGCUCUGUAAACUGAGGUUUUUUGGAAGGGAACUGAAGAGUAAGCAGCACUCUGGGGGCGUGAUUUGACCUGAAAUGAAAAACAAAUUGCUUAAAAAACACAAAAACCACAAAAAUCUUCACACCCCAGAAAAAACCCCACCCCACCCCCCAACAAAACAAAACAAAAAACAAAGCAAAACAAACAAACAAAAAACAACUAACCCCCACCAAAUUAAUUCCUUUAUGAGAAUAGAAUAAGUCAGAACAUUCUUCAGAAUUUUUGUUGAAAAAGCUUCUAGCAGAUACAACCAAGAAUUGCUCAAAAUAAGCUUUAAAACUCACAAAGUAGCACAUAAACUGAGAGCCAAACUUUCAGGGUAGUUUAUUAGUGAUGUCUUGUAAUUAAUUAAUGGAUCGUUGUUCAGUUGAGGUGUCUGAUGUAGAUGUUGCUGCCAGAGAUGCCCUCACCUUUUCCAACUACUCUGGGUCAACAUCUGAGUGCUGCUUUAUUUUCUGGUCUAACAGCUAGGUAUCUGUGUCUGCAUUUCAGGUGUGUUAAUGUGUAUUAUACAUGCCCCUAAAAAAUCAGCAAUUUUUUCAUUUUCAGGCUUGGACUAAAAAAGUUGGUAGCUAACCCUGCUGGAGAUGACAAAGAAUUGGUGUUAUCGAAAAAGCCUGUGGGUUGAUGCAGAUGGUGGUUCUUAUUCCAGUUCACAUAUAGCUUGAUUUGCCGUGGAGAGAAAGAUAGUAAUUGGCCCAAAAUUAAGCAGGUUUUGUUGCUUGUUAAUGCUUGUUUAUUCCUUUUUUCUAAAGGAAUGCAUGGGCCCUUAAUAUGGACAUUAUUCAGGUCUUCAUUUACACUCAGCCAAAAAAAAGGCAGGGCUGGGGGUAGAAUCAAGGGGCAAUUAAAGGAUCAAUUCUGAUCAAACCAGACUUACUUAAAACCAAAACCAGAAAAGCUCAACUUUGGACCUGUGAAAAGUACUGUUUCUCUUGUUAUCACUUUUCUAACUUCUGUAAACGCAAACGUACCCAUCUUGUGGUUUCUCUGUAGCUUCUGUCACUGCAGCUUCACCAUCAGGUAAGAUGCAAGGCAAAAUUUCUCAAAGGGACCAUCUAACUUACUGAUAAAACGGUGAAGUUUAUUUAGAAAAAAAAAAAAAAAAGAUAUUUCAGGUUAAUCCUGGAAGUGGGUGAUGAUCAUCUCAAGUUUCCUAUUAUUAUGUUAAGGUUUCAUCUGGACUCAUCAGAUUUUAAUUCAUUGCAAAUAUAGUUUUGACUUCUUUGGACAGUGGAUAUGACCAUUAGUGAAUUCUGUGCUUUUAUGAAACUCGUGCUUCUCUGAAUUAGUAGAUGGUGGAAGAGAGCAAGGUCUUUAAUUUGUUAUAAAUUUUACUCUGUAUGUGUGUCAAUUAUAUAUUGUGUGUCAAUUAUAAUCUUAAAAUGUAAAGGAGUGUUGGCAGUAAAUGAUAAGAAAUGUCAAGGAAAGGGCAGAAGUGGGGAAGGGAUUUUAACAUGCUGGUAUCAUGCUCUGUCCUCUUUUUGAUAAGCUGUAAUGACAGUGGCUGUCAAAGCUGUCAGGGUACGGAAGGGCCCUUCUUGAGACGUAUCUCUCUGUUAUCGACAGGCAAGGAGAAAUGUCUGCAUGUGCCUGUACACGCGUAUGUGGAGGGAUAGAGUUUGAUCCCUUUUAUUCUGGAUCAGAAGAAAAGAUGAAAUGUUAAGUAAUAUUCUGAUUCUCAUUGGUAACCACUGUAUUUUCUUAAAGUCUUUGCGGUAUGCAUGGUCAUUUCUUUUGCACCUGUGGUAUAAUAUUAGGGAGAUCAUGUAAUUAUAAAUAAGUUAAUGAAUAUCCGUUUUGUUUAUAUUGUGUAAAUGUAUGUCUAUGAUAAUCCAUAGCUGUGAUGUAUGUUUUAGUCCAGAGGGAUUUUAGUUAACUGCAAGGCUUUCUAAGAAAGGGAUGAAUAGAACCUUUGCUUUCAAUGUCUUUCCCAGAACUGCUGCAGUAGAAUGUUCCAAAUUCAGGUACUGUCAGGUUUCUAACUUAAUCUAAGAGUGGGCAAGUUUUAGCAUGGAAACAUGCUCAAUACCCUGUCUUUAUGUUAUUUCCCAGCUUCAUGAGACACUUGUUAAUUAAUUGAGACACUGAAAUAAAAGUAAGUGCUCAUAAUGUAAUUGUAUUUGGGCUGAGGCCUUUGGGUAAAUUUGAGGUAAAUGAGAGAUGGAAUUAUUGACAAAAUCUUGAAUUUUUUAAUUGGCUGUAUUUGCCAGUUCCCUGCUACAUCCAUGCCCUGCCUUUUGGUGGGGCAGUGUCCUUUGCUCUCUCGCUUUGAGGAUAAUACUAAAAUGUUCUCUGCUGACGUAACUCCAUGGAACUGACAGAAUUUGCAGUAACAGUUGGAUCUUUUAUUUUUCAGUAAUGUCAGUGAAAUCAUCUUGCUAAUCUUGAGUUUAAGCUUGUAGUCACUAUGUGAGUUUAACUUCGGUUGUGCCAACAUGAGUCUUGCCAGAGUAGACAAAAUGAAUCUCAGAAGCACAUAAUCGGCAUAUGAAUAGAGAUUUAGAGAACAUGAGAUGAGUGUACCAGACCUGUGGGGAGAAAUAUUGCUUUAAUUUUAAAAAUAAAUACAAAUAAAGAAGCAAAUGGAACAGAGAGCUAUUUUAUUUUCCCGUUCUGGUGACUCCAGUAGUGUACAAUUUUUCUUUUAAAAUGUUUAUUCAGAAAUAUAUCUGAUACAAUACGUUAUCCAUUCUUCUUACAGGUUAAGAACCAUAUACAGAUGUUAAAGAACAGUAUACCUGCAGUUUGGCAGCAUUUGGAUUCAGGUUCACUAGUACAAACCCAUCUGAAGCAUUCUGAUUGAUGGCUGAUUAGUCAUGUAAUUUCCAGCACUUUGUAUGAAUAGGCUCAGGUUUUUUCAGUGACUGCUGUUGCCUUUCCAUUGUAUCUUGGAGCCCUAGGCAUAAAAUUGCUGUGAAGAAAACAUAGAAGCUAAAGUAUAAUGGCAAUACUGCUCACCUGGGUUGCAAAAGUAGCAAGUUUAGCCCUCGAACUACCAAAUCAUUCUUCAGAAACCUUGGAAUUUUGACUCUAAUCCUUUGGAAAUAUCUCCCUUAAUUCAACUCUCUAUUAUUUCUGCCGUUUGACAGGUGCUGAAAUGGCUGGAUGGCAAGACUAUAGACUAGAACGCAUGAGAGAUUAUGCUGUAGCUAAACUUGUGUGAUGGAAGAUACUUGUGUUUACAAAAGUGGUUUGCCAGGUCCUUUGGGAAGUACAAUUUCUGUUUUUGCAGCAAUGAAUGACUUCAGCUCUGUAGGCCAGAGAAAAUACAAAUGCAGAGAAUCACAGUGAGGCCCAUAGUGCAGGAGAGUGACUCAACAGUUGCUUAAGAAAUUAGAAACAGGAUUUCACUCUGCAAUGAUUUCCAUGCACAUUUCUUUGUUUUUCUGGAAAGUCUUUUGGGCAGCUGCCCUCCAGAGUGGAACCACUCAGGCUGUGAAGUAUUGAGUGCAAUCUUCACGUUGCUGUAACCUGGAGGGCACAGGGAAUGGAGAGAGCUCCUUGUCAUCUCCUCUUCUGUAAGGUAACACUGGACUGGCAAAACAAGGAUUCCUGCUGCUUAUUCUGUAGCCUAGCCAGCCAUCUUCUGCCUGCUGAAACACAACAGCUGCUGUACAUCCAGGGUGUUCAUACUCCUGCUGCUGCUGAACAGUACAGCAUGCUACGCGAGAGCUUGAGGAAGUGUUUAGGCCCCCUUCACUUAGCCCUCCUUCCUGCAUUUACAUGACCUGCAUAUGUAGAGGUGAAGAUCCCUACAUUGAGCAUGCAAAGGGUUUGGGGCCUUGCUAAACAUUAGGGGUAGGACAUGUGUCUAAGAAUAUGGUGGAUGCUUUGCUGUAUGUGCCUAGUUCAGAAUGUUGUUACAUCUCAAAUCUGGAGUCCAAAGGCUUGGCGAGUGCAUUUUACUUUUCAUUUUCUGCAGCCGAUUAAUAUCUGAUGAAUCCAAAUACUACACAUGUUUCUUGGCACUGCAGAGAUUGGUGGAGCCGAAGGCUUUUGUCUGUGAAUUCUGGCCUUGCUACUGCUGUUGAUGUAGGUGCUGUAAAAAAGUAAUAGGUGCCUGUAGUCCUGCAAGCACAGUGGUUUAGAGUUUAUACAAACAAAGCUCUAAAACAAUGCUGAUGUAAGUAGAUGAUUUUAGAGGAUGUAACUAAAGGUUACUGAAAGUAUCAGAUUACACAGGUGUUUAAUGAACUAAGGAUGUGUGCUGGAGAUUAUGAGUCAAAAGGCAUCACCUGUCACUUGGAAUGCAGCUUCUGAAUCCUAGAGACGGCAUGAUUCUUAUUGAUAUGAAACUUAACAUUGAAUCCCCUCUCUUUUAAGGGUGCAUUCCAAGAUCUUUGAUUUGGUUCUAAAAUUUUGGUUUAUGUUUGAGGGGACAAUGGAUGCCUUAUUGCUUACAGAUUUAUUGGCAAGCACUAACACGUGACACAGCUCUUGUGAGGUGGUAUCGAAAGUGGAAGCUUUAGAAGGCCAAGUGACCAGCUUUUAACCAUUAGCUUCAGUGUCCCUUUUUGGCAGAGACCUUCAGUUGGUCUUUCUUCUGUGGAGGUAGCAACUGUGCUGACACCUAAAGGUUUGAUCUGUAGACCUGUGAAAUCAGUGGCUCUCAGGGGCAGUGAUGUACGAUCAGGGUCUGAAAUGGCAAUUCCUUUCCUUACUGGAAGUGUCACCAUGUCACCCUCUGCUAUAGGGCAAAACAUGGGCAUCCUCAGCCUACUACUUGGUUGCUGAGUAAAAGAAACAGGACUGUCUUUCUGUUUUGCAUUUGGUUUGUGUUUACUAAAAUCAGUACUGUACACCUGUAGUUUGGAAAUUAACACUUUGGUUCCUUUUAAUAACAGAGAACAUCUAUCUGAAUCUAUAAUUUAGAUUUUAUUUAGCAAACAUUUACUUUUCCCUCUGCCCUAUUCCUGUUUUGUUGUCACAGAUGGUACCAGGCUAAGGAUGAAGAAGAAAUGGUGAGUUAUCGAUUAGUUAGCCUGGGGCAGAUUAGUGAAUUAAAAUGUGUGUGUGGAAAAAAAGAUAGUUACACCAAUACUUUCUACAUUUAUUAAAAUAACAGGUUUUAUUGGGCUGAAUAUGUCUACACUGGUGUUUGUACAACUAGCUAUGCUGGAGAGAGAUGAGUGGCUGCCUCUGUGUUCCCAUAUUCUGUUCAUUAACUCAUUACAGUUUAACAUGGCUUUUGUUACAGUGCUGGUUGUGGUAUUUUGAUAUGGCAUAGGGGUGGAAAAUGGGCAAGUACAAACACUCAAAGAAAGUGUCCUCAACACUCAGCUAAUGCAGCCAUAGAAGGAUGAGAAGGGAGAGUGUUUGCAGCCUCUUCUGCAGUUUAUGACAUAAUUUGUUGGAGAAAAAAAGAUUUUCUUGCUCCCCAUUUGAGAGAUAGGGAAAUAAAUGGGGGAGAUAAUAGCUCAUUGUUUCCUGCUCUUUGAAUAACAUUUCUCUAUUGUCUUAAAGCCUCAGUGGAGUGAACAGAACACAGUGGGCUUUGUUGAAAGAAAAGCACUUGUGCCCCAUGUCACCAAGAGAGCUACAGUGGAAAUGCUAAUUUGGUGGCACUGAAAGUGUGUGAGGUAGAGCCAAUGGGCUAAAUAUGAGAUCCUCAGCAUCAGCUAUUUACAACCUUUGGUUUCCUGUCCUGGGUGAACAGCCUGGUUUACAGAAACAUCAAUUUUUGUGCCUUGUCAUUUCACCAAUUGCAUCAUGCAGGCAGAUUUCAAAUGCCUUAAGAGUAACCAUAGUAACUGCAGGUCAUUUAAAUAAGCUGAAAGAAAAGGAAUUCCCUCCCUUGGAAAACCCUUCAGUCAAACAGGCUCCAAAGGUACAGCAAGAUUUGGAUUCUCCUCUGCUGCAAACUGGCACUUCUCCACCGGGUUCUAGUAAGGUUCUGUAGAUUUGCACAGGUUGAUCUCAUUCUAAAAGUAUCUACAGGGCAAAUCAGUGUAAGUGGGUGUAGCUUCCACAGGACGGCAGAGCUGUGGGUGCUGGCACAAGGACGGAUUUGUGUCUUUGUGUGUAUGCCUGCCUGUCUGCUCAGGCAAGCACGGAUGUGCCCGCUCAUUCCCUUCUCCGCUCCCGAAAAAUGUCCUGUUUGUUAUCUGACACAGAACGACUAUUGCUGUUGUGCUCUUAUUAGCAGAACGAUGUCAAAGCCUCUAGUUUCACUUCAACACAGUUUCUGUAGUCAGUUUUGGAUGGGUUAUAAAUCUAAUCUUAAAUGUUCUGAAUCAGAAUCGUAAUGAAACUGGGUAGACUCAAUUCCAAGUGCAACAUGAUAUACUUGGUAUCAUUCAAUACCACGUUAUCCAUGCAGAAACACAAGAAAUAAGUCAGGUUUGAACUGUCUUUUUGUUGUGACAAUGAGAAAAAUCUAGAUUUCCCUGUCAUUCGUAACCUAAACUUACCCUUACCUACAGUUCUUACAUUUUGCCUGUUCCCUUUGUUUACUGAACUGAAAAUCAGGGUGCUGUAUUGUUAUGGAGGCCUGAAUAUUUUAUUGAGAAGACUCCUCCAUCCGCUCACUUAUUGAUUCAUUGAAUAAUUCUCCCAGAUUCAUGCUUACAUUGGUUUCAGUGAAACAUGGUGCUGGCGAUGCUAAAUAUCAGAGAUUCUUAUUAUUUCUUCUGUAGGCAUCUCUUCUUUACUCUGAGUUUACAAUGCAAGAGUAUAAAUGCAUUUAAUUUAGAUUAAUCAUUUAAUUACUAACUUUUCUAAAAAAAAGAAGGACUAAGCUAGAUAAGUAGGCAAUUGUUGCUAACUCCUAAGCUGAAUGCACUGAUGAAUUGGCUAUGUACUGACUGGACAUACUGGUGUCUGUGCCGCUUGUUAAGAAAACUGUUUUAUCUGCAAGAACACUUUAAUUUUCUUGUCUGGCAUAAGUGAGAAUUAAAAUCUAGGGUAAAUUUUGAGUCUAUUUAUAGAUUUAAUAGCAAAGAAUAUCUUAAAACAUCUCUUAUUCAAGGCUAGUAUUUUAAAUCUUUGUGAUUUUAAGUUAUUAAACUUCCAAAAACCAAUUUUUUAAUAGAGCGUGAUUAAGAAACAGAUUUAAGUACUGGCUAUUAGAAUCUUAUCAUUUGGCCUUAUAGUCUUAGCAUUUUCUGUUCUUUGGAGACAUUCAGGCACUUUUUGAGGGGCUAAUGCUUAAUGCUUGUUACAUACCCACACUGGAAUACAGGCUUUCUCAUCCUUUGUUGGGUUAACCCAGACGCAAGUUGGAUGUUGACUGAAUUGUGUAUUACUCUCUCUCUUUUGAAUUUGGUCAUCAGCAAAAUAGUAUGCAUUUUUAUUGUGCAUAAUUCUUUCCCAAAAUUCUUCUAAUGAAUGAUUCCCUAAACAACUUCCAUGAUCACACUUUCAGACAUUUUUCCUGCCUGUGUGGUCUUAACCAACUAUGUCUUUUGAGGGCUGUUGUCAGUAGUACAUUCUUGCAAGAGCGGGAUUUCUCCUGGCUGUUUGACUUUAGUACAACGUCAGAGAUCAAUAGUCUCUGUGUGGCAGUGUGCUGAACAGGCACAUUUGGGAGUCAUCCCAGGAAGAAGGAGGUAAAGCUCCCUGACCUUGUGCAGACAGGGAAGGAAGUGGAGGUGACAUUUAUACCUCUUGGCAAGGAAGUGAGAAUAAAAAAGAAAGGUAAUAUGUCUUUGGGACAUCUUUAUCAACAGUUACAGGAACCCUGCGUUUGGGUCUCCUUUUUCCUGUGUUAAAUAAUAUUUCCAUAUUUCUAGCUGUGUAGCUCCCUUUGCCACUUCAAAAGUUUGCUCAGUUUGUCAUCAGGUUAUCUUUUGGGGUUCUUUGUUCCAUGUAUUAGAAUUUUCAUCAUGUAAACUUUUUUUCCAUAACCUACUUGGAAAAAAGUAUUUGUAUAGUUUCAGAUUUUCAACUGUGAAAUGUUACCAGCAGCACCUACUAAAAUGAAUGCUUUUGCAUUCUAUCCUCUGUUUUAUAAGAAGUUCAAGACAGAAUAAUUAAUCUUUCAGUAGGGUACUUAAGUAUAAUUAUUCAGUGCUGGGUCCCCUCCCUUCCCUCUCAAAUUCAGUGGUCUGACUUAAUCUAGGGAAAACUGAAGUAAAGUACCAGAUCUGAGCUUGGCUACAGCUUCUCUGGAAUCUAGAAAUCCUAAUCUACAGCCAUCGGUCUCAACUGAUAGUGUUUCAUUGACUUCAAUGGUUGUUGGAGCAGGCAAAGACAAGCUAGCAAGGUGCUAUUUGGCAGUGGUGGGAGCCUGGAGUUAGUUAUAGCCUGGACUGUUGUAUAAGCACUGAAGAUUUUUGGGAUUAUGAAGAGAUUUCGUAGUUUUGAGAAGCAGAGAGCAAGUAACAUUUCCUCUACCAUAUUUAUUAGGAGGGUGCCUCAUAGAGCCAUGAUAGCUUGAGAGCUGAGGUGAUGUUGAACUAUUUCAGUUGACAUUUAGAGAAUUCAAAUCCAUCUCCAGUCUCUUCCUUCUGAAGGGUGGCUUUAUAUUUCUCACUAAUAGCUGCCAUCAAGUGCUGCUUCUCUGGACUGCUGGAGGCUGGCCAGUUGUGGAGCCAAAACAUUACAUGAAGAACUUCUUGAAGAAGUAUCUAUACAAUGGGUAGCAAUAUAGAUAUACUGUGCACAUUUUGACAGAAAUAAAACCACACGUUUACGCUUCCAAUCUCUGAUUUUUUUAUGGCAGUGAUUUACAACCCUAUUCACACUUGGCAGUCCAAGGUCUGGAGAAUAAUAUCAAGCCAUCUGCUUGUGCCUCUGUGGGGCUGCUUGUAGCUGUGAUCCUGUGUUCCAAAUACAUCAGUGGAACUCGCAUGCUGGAUAUCUUGUGGCGUAUCUUGGAUCUGUUGUUUUAUUUAUUUUUUUUCCUUUUGCCUGCAGGAUGGUAGCAGAUGUGCAGGAUACACAUGUGGUUUUUGUAUGAUUGGCUAUGCUGUAAAUAGUUGAAAUUACAAUCUGUGAUAUUUUUGGCUUUUCUGGGUAUAUAGUCUGAGAAAAUGGGGAAGGGGCCUUCGAGGAAAGGCUGGCAUGCACUAGAAGCAAGAUAAAAUCUUUUGAUAGAGAACAAAAAAGCUGUUUCCCAUAAAUAGUUUUUGAGCUAAUUGUCUUGCUAAUUCUUCUCUUGAAAACACAUUCCUCUCUUACCGGUAUCAUACUUGGGUACUAUGGAAACUAAUUUGGGGCUUAACUGACUUUAGAUUGAAUUCUUUACUAUGGAUACUAUGCAUACCGCUUCACAGCAAAAAGUUCAGAUGUGCCCUACCAUGGAAAGCCUCUCUGUGUUUUUUCUCUUUUUCUCCUCUCUCCUGUGGCUACUCUGUGAGGACUGAUGCUGUUCUUCGAUGAGUAUCUUCAGACAAGAAGAUAAAGACAGACUGUACUGAAAGUUGUUCACAUGCGGGGUUGCAUAUCAAGUUUAAUUCUUACCACGCUUCCACAAACUGGUGAGAUGUGUUAUCUUUGGGAUUAAGUUUUCCUGUGCAAGGUCUGUGCCAAGGAGUAUGCUGUUUUGCAAAACCUGAGAAAUACCCUUUUCAGACCCUGUUGGUGAAGGUGCAGUUACAAAAUGGUAAUGCUGAGGUUCUUAACUGGAGAACACUGCUGGCAUUGCUGCAAACUUCAUUUUUAAGCUAUGUGUGGUUACUCCUUUUGGCUCCAAGCUGUAGAGAGUAGGUUAGAUGGGAGUAAUAAUCAGGAGGUGAUGGGUCUGCAAUGCGAUAGUUAAUAAAAGAGAGAAAUGGGCAGAUCAUAUAAACCCCUGAUUUCUGGUCGUUGAUGUGGUUAUACCAUGUAAUCUGGCUGCUUUUAAUUAUUCAUUAUGUUGGAAAGGUUUACAGUAAUAGACAAAAUGACAGCAUCUGGAGCAUAGAUUGUGGAGCCAUUCUGAACUGAGGCAUGUGCAGGAAUUUCCUCUUCAUUUUACCUGCUUGUGUUUCUCCACUUAAUGAAGAUUCGGUCUGUAGUGUCCCAAAUGUAUCUCGUGUUACUCAUUCAUAACAAACUGUAUAAAUGAACACCUGGCAAGGAGAAUAUUCCUUGAAGGACUGUAGACAAGAGCAGGAAAUUUAUUUUGGGAUUAUUAUUGUUAUGCCUUCAGUAUGUCUAAAAUUACUUGGAAAAAAAAUCUGUCGGAAGUGAAGAGAGAAUUGCAGUGGCAAUAACUGGUCCUAUUCAAGGUCGAAAGGUGUAUUAUUUUUGAAAGUGCAUUUUAUUUUUAGGAGUAGUUUCUAGUGCAUACAUGUUGCACUAUUUAUAUUUCUAAAACUGGAAUGCAGUUUUCCUGUUUGACAAUUGUACAUGCAAUCUGAGAUCCCACAGUGAAACUUGUCAUAUUUGUAUGGUUUUUUAUAUGGCAGGUAGGUUUGAAUUCAAGUGGCUUCUGUUUCAGAUGUAGAUACUGUGCACAUGUCAGAGGCACAAUGCAUUUGGAAGGGUUAUGCCGACCGAGUUUCACUUAACAUUUGUGUGAUGCAGAAAUUUUGGUUGUUGCCUAAGUUUACUCUGUUUUUAUGCAAAAUCUUCAGGCUAGACCUGCAAGGCUAAACUGUUCAGUUUUGGAUACUGAGCUUAGUGGGUCUUGUUCUCUGUCAGAAAACUAUUCUGUUCUGUUCCUUCUUGAUGUCUUGCUCUGUAAAUGUGACAGUCUGUUUAAUAAAUAUAGAAGGAGCUGCUUUUAGAGAAUCCAUCUGUUUCCAGGUAUGCAGAUAUUGGAUAGGAAAGUAAGGAUCAUGAUGAAGAGAGGCCAAGCAGAGACUUGGAACAGAUCUUCAGGAUCUUGCAAUACGGACAGCGAGCCCAGCUUCCCAAACUUGCUUCUGGAAAGAGAUUGGAUGGAGAAAUCAGGCAGGACUUCAGUUGCCUAUCUGCAAUCGGUGCUGGUGGGAUGGUUGGUCCUGUGGGGAACCUCCAUCUCCCUGCAGAGCUGCUCCACAGCCCUACGUGAUGUGUUAUUCCAGUAGGGAGCUUGACUAGAAGUAAGCAUUUGGAAGCAGCUCAAAAUCAUUCCUCACAUCUGUGUGCGUGCUUUGGCACACACGGCAACAUGCUGACCAUAAUCCUGUAUUAGUGAUAUUGCCAACCAUUCCCCACAGCAACAGACACUGAUGUCACAACUAGAAGAUUAUGACCUCUUAAGAGAUCUGGCAGCAGAGAAGAGGCCAGAUUAAUAGGGCACGUAGAUGAGGAGAGAGAAAAUUCUUUAUUAAAGCCUAAAUCUUUAUAUAAAUUUUAUUGUCUCUUUCACAGAAGAGUUGACAACAAACUCAGACAAGCAGCUGAUGUGAUUUUUUUUAAAUUUAUUUUUGAAAGUCGUGUCAUGGAAUCUAUACGUAUGUGUAUUGAUCUCACUCCCUUCCUCUCCAAACAAGUUAAUCACUCUGGGCUUUCUUCUGUAUUAGAAAACUUUUUCUUCUGUGGAUUCAUGGGGCUCCUUGCUUUGUUCAUUUGGUGUAUUAAUAAAUGCUCUAUUUAAGGGCCAGGUGGUGAGGAAUAUGUAGUCCACAUUUGGGUGGGUGGAGCAAUCCACAAGUUUUCUUUCAUAUAAACUGUAUGUUUCAAGUUAAUACGAGAACAGCUACCUUGGGGUAUAGUGCUAGUUGCUGGGGAAAUCCCAUCCAUUUAUAUAAUAUUGUAUUAUAACUGUAAAGAUUAUACUUUUUUUUUUUUUUUUUGGUAGCUUUAUAUUUCUGUGUGUAUGUAUGCAUGUAUCAUCUCCCUUCAAGAUCCUCCCUUAUUUCCAGUCCAGUAGUUUAAUCUGAUCAAUGCUUCCUCAAAUGUUGCAGGUCAGGAAAGGUGUAUAGUACGUGUUGCUCUCUGGAAAUUAAAUCUGAACUUGCUGCAUCUGUGACAUAUCUGCGAAACCCUUCUGAGUAACUCUGCUUCUUUACCAGUGUAAUUGAGGGAAGUAUUUGACUACCUAUGCAAUUUUUUUAAAGCUCCUGAAGGAGUAAGAUAUCAAUUCUUAUUGAAAGGCAGUGGCCAUAGGGUGCUUAAUUUUCUUAAACUGAUCUUAAAAAAAUCUUAACCCUGUGUGAAUAUUAACAUUUGGGUAGGAAAUAGGGGUGAAUUUGUAAUCCUCAGUAAAAGAGAUUUGAUUCAAAACAUACCACAGGGAGAAAGAAAAAUGGAAUAACAUACUUUGGUACAAAUUGGUAAAGUUUUGUGGACUUAGUGGAGCUGCAGUGGUUUAUAUCCUCAGCUGUUUGGCUUAGUAAGUUUAGUUUUAAAAUUAAAGUAUGUUCCCCACUGAGGCUCUUUACAAAUUAUGAGGAGAUCAAGCAGACAGGAAGUACAAAGAGAGGAGGAGAAGGAGAAAAAUAAGAAAAUAUGUACUGGUAUUUUUCAGACAUUAGAAUUGCCUCCUGUGCUCUUGGCUGGAAAAAAUUAAAAAGGAGAAAACAAUAAAGCUCUGAAAACUUUUUCAGUAUAGGAUGUGAGGUCCCAGAGGUUGGUCUUCAGGUUUUCUGGGAUUUUAGAAAUACAGUGGUCUGAUUUUGUAGCUAAAAUGCAGAAUUACAACUAGUUUACUGCACACUCAUUUCCCACCUCUGUGUUUUUUUUUUCUUUGGCUUUCUGCAUGUCACUCAUUGUGAUGUUGUACUGCUGGUUCUUCUGCUAGAAGGAUUUGCGCUGCCAGGGUUUGCAUCAUGAUUUGGUUUCUGUUACUAAUUUCUUUAUUUAAUUAAUUAUUUAAAUGCAUUGGCACAGUGCUACUUUGGGAUUUCCAUCCUCAAUUAUGUAAAUAGUUCUGCUAGACCAUUUGACUGUCAUUGUGCUUCCAGAUGUGUCAAAACCUGCUCCUUAGACUCUCAUAGUUACCAGUCAACCCUGUGCUAACUCUGCUUCCAGAUUGGUUGCAUGGAAGUAGCCAACCAGCGAUGGCUAUGUACAGUGAAUGUUGGGAUAGAUACACUACUUAUGAAAGUAUUAUACUUGUAUACUUAUAAAAGUAUUAUACAUUAUUUAUAAAAGUAUUAACUUACAUGGCUAAAUCAACAACACAUUAAUCAGUUUAACCAUAUGAUUUUAUUACCUAUAUUUCUUCUUUUUUUUUCAUUUUCUCCCUGAUGUUUAUUUUAGUUUCUUGCUGACUUGUUUAAAAUUACUGAUGUUUUUAUGAAUGUUUCUUAGAACUUGUUCUUGCCUUUUAACUUCUUCUUUUUUUUUUUUUUUCGUUUUUUUCCUUUUAAUAUGCUUUACAAGCACAAAUUAGGCUAUUAAGUUGUCCUGGAAUCAGUGCUUGUAGACAAAGAUGAGACAAAUUCACGUUCAGCAACAGCUUUUAGCUGAAAUAUGUUCACAAGAUGUAUUGCCCCUGCACAUCAGAAGAAAAAAAUGAUUCCUUGCAUCUGACUCAGUCAUGCCUAACAAAGCAAAAUAGAUCACAUCUUAGGUUUGGAAUGUCAAAUCACAGGAAACAAAAAUAAUGAGAAAAAGUACUGAAUGGGCAAUAAGCUUCUAAAAAUUACAGGAUGCAGACAAGAAGGGUGAACUUCGCGCAAUGUCUUAGCUGUUCUGAGUUGUUCACUCAGGUCUGUUUGCAAGAGGCUGGUGUGUGCCUGGUGGAUUAGGGGGUUUAAGAGGCUUCAGACUCUCUGGAGGUCUGUUAUCUCAUGCAGGCAGCUCUCUGCUUCGUGUACCUGCAUGAAACCCAGCUGCUGUCAUGGCAUGAUCACAUUAAUAAAGGGUGCCAGUAGAGCAGGAGAAACACUAACUUAACAUCUGCAAGGAGCCAAAUGGAAAACAAACCAGAAAAUGGGAAUGGAGGACCAAGCAGGGUAGAGGUCUGCCCUUCUCUUUGCAGUUUGCCUGCGUAGCCCUUGAAGCCCUUGAUGCUCUACAUUGCUUUGCGUAUUCCCUUGUUACAUCUGCAGAACUCUAGGGGCAGCAGUGGGAAACCCUGCAUUGCUCAUGUCCUGUGAGUAAACAGUGGGUUCGAACUGCUAGUAUUUUUGACCUAUUUUUUGAUAUUUAUUUCUUUGAAACGACUAAACAACUCUGAAAUAAAACUACUUUGACUUCUCCAAGCUGUGAGCACUGAACUGGUUAAAAAGGGAAACAAGCUAAAAGCUCUGUUUCCUUUGCCUGAAAAUCCACUGAUGCAGGAUGAAAUUAAAGGCUAUAAAUAGCUCCUGUCCCUUUAGCUUCAUCAUACCAGCUUUGGCUGUGCGCAAGGAUUAGAAGAAGACAGAAUGGAUUUCUGUGUGGCGUCAACAAGAGUCAAGGAUUAUGCCCACUGUGCACAUCGUAUUGUUCAUUUCUCACAGGCCCUUGCAGGGAAAUUAAAUCCCUUCUGAUGCUCAAGGUGCAGGGAGCAGAGUCGGCUUUGAGCAGGACACGUGCAUUGCAAAGCAAUUUUACACAGUAGCACUUAGCUUCCCAUGGGUCUGCAGCAUCAAGCCCUGACUUCCUUUUCAUACAGGCAGAUGACCUAGCACAGAUCACAGCAGCAGGGGCUGGGCCUUUCCAGGCUUUGAGCUGGAGCUAACAUCAGUGAAGUUCAUUGCUACAGAACACCUCUUGAAAAUGAGUUGCUGGUUCCUCAUUUAAUCAUUCAUUCGCUCUGUUCCCUUCUCUCAUGCAAAUCCUCUGUUGUGUGAGUGACUAGUGUUGGGUGACAGAAGGAUUUCACAGAGUUACCUGCAAAUAGACCCUUGUGAUAUGCAUAAGGCUCUUGAAGAAAGGAUGUAAUUUCUUUCCUUAGAGGAGCAUUCAAGGUUGCCACAACCUUAGUGGUGUGAAAAGUUAUUGCAUCUUUUCUUUCUUCUCCACUUGCGUUUUCCCUCCUGCAUCGUGUGUGUAGUUGGAAGACAUUUGUUUCAAAAAGAAGGGUAAAUUUCUCUUUAUUAAAAAGUAGAAGUGUUGAGUAACAGUAUUUGUCUGAAAGGUGGAUGUAAAAAGAAACAGCUCCUUUUUGGAGCAGUUUACAAAACUUACUUUUUCAGAUUCCUGUCCUGUGAGAUGUGGAAGCCCAAUUGCUUGCAAUGGUAGGUUUAGAUGAGGUCUGAUAGUGCAAAGCAUCUUUCAGAAUUGAAUCCUCAGCUGCAUAUAUAUUUAGAGCUGUAUAAUUACAAGUACUAUUAAUAUCUCUGAAUCAAGUAUGAUAAUUUCAGUGGAGAGAAAGGCAAGACAGUAGUUACUUUGGACUGCCACUUAUUACUUUAUGAAUAAUAGCAGGUGUCUUUGCUUUGGACAUUUAAAUAAGAAAAUAGUGUAGUAAUUUUUACUAGCUGGUAGCAAGAUUUUAUCUACAUGUUAUCUUGUCCAUAUCAUAAAUAUACCUUGGGACCGCUAACAGUAUGACUUGGUUGUGGCAACACUAAUUCUUCCACUAAGAUGUCCGCAAGUCAGCAUUAUGGCAACAUGAGAACUUGUCCCAGUACUUAAACCUCCCCCAAAAGCCUCCCUAAGAAGAAAACUGAUUGAGGAUGUAGAAUUUGCAGUAGCCACAGAAAGUAGGCAAAAAAAAAAAAAAAAAAAAGAAUAAA